rnacentral:lncRNA from 1 species
AAACCACCAGUGUACAAGCCACCAGUUGAGAAGCCCCCCGUCUACAAACCUCCUGUAGAGAAGCCUCCUGUUUACAAGCCACCAGUAGAGAAACCACCAGUGUACAAGCCACCAGUUGAAAAGCCUCCGGUCUACAAACCACCUGUAGAGAAGCCACCUGUUUACAAGCCACCUGUAGAGAAACCACCAGUGUACAAGCCACCAGUUGAGAAGCCUCCGGUCUACAAACCACCUGUAGAGAAGCCACCUGUUUAUAAGCCACCUGUAGAGAAACCACCAGUGUACAAGCCACCAGUUGAGAAGCCCCCGGUCUACAAACCCCCUGUAGAGAAGCCUCCUGUCUACAAGCCACCAGUAGAGAAACCGCCAGUGUACAAGCCACCAGUUGAGAAACCCCCGGUCUACAAACCCCCUGUUGAGAAGCCUCCUAUCUACAAGCCACCAGUAGAGAAACCACCAGUGUACAAGCCACCUGUUGAGAAGCCUCCAGUUUAUAAGCCACCAGUUGAGAAGCCACCUGUGUACAAGCCCCCAGUCGAGAAACCCCCGGUCUACAAACCUCCUGUAGAGAAGCCUCCAGUUUACAAGCCACCGGUGUACAAACCUCCAGUUUACAAGCCACCAGUAGAGAAGCCACCUGUGUACAAGCCUCCGGUCUACAAACCCCCAGUUGAGAAACCUCCAGUUUACAAGCCACCGGUUUACAAGCCUCCAGUCGAGAAGCCACCAGUUUACGGACCACCUCACCACCCAUAGUACCCUCCCGUAGUUGGCACUACUCGUUUUUAAAGCAUGCUUUUAAGUAAAUAAGAGAUAUAUAAACUUUCCAAAGCAAGGAUCAUAUAUUCUUGGAAAUCUUCAAUUCAAUCUUAUGUUUACAAAUGCUAUUGCCAAGACAAGAGUGUGAAAGAAAAUGGUGCCAUUUGUACUUCAAAUUAUGAAUAAGAACGUUAUGAUUUAGUACUUCUUAUUUUGUGUUUGUUGACUAAAUUUGACAGAGUAUACUUUACUUGUUCCCUAUCAUACCAGUAAGGUGCAUGAAAGUUCAGUCUUGAACGGUGGAAAUAAAUAAUAAUUAAUUAAUGUUUGAAUCUCGAAUUUACUAAAUUAACGAACUUGUAAUUUCAUUGGAAUAUACUUGACUCAGUGGUAGCUUUAGUUUCAACUUGGAAAAUGUCCGUGAUAUGACAAUUUUUCCAAAACAAGUUUAGGUUAAGAUUUUUAUUUUUUAUUUUUGACAUAAUAUACGUUAAGAUUCUUGUGUACUAAUAGAAACUGAAAAAUCAUUUUGGUGCUUAAAGUUUAAUGAGUUGGACAAAUUAUUCACUCAAAUAUGGAAAUGAUAAUGUAGUCUCUUCAAUUAUAGAAUGCCAUUUAAUUUAGUUACCUUUUCAAAAUUAGCAUCACAAUUCGCAAGGUUUUAUAUUUGUGUUGAUGCAUCAGUUAAGAUAAGGAUCACGAAAAUUAGGUUUUUGACUUGGUUUUGAUUAGGGGUGUUUGCGGUGCGUUUUGGUUCGGUUUUGAGCAUAAAAGUCAUCUAAACCUCAAGAUAAAAAAGCAUGCGGUUUGGUUUGAUUCAGUUGAUUUUUAUAUAGUCAUCCAAACAAAACCAAACCAAACCAAUGCGGUUUGGAUUGGUUCGGUUUGUACGGUUUAUCGCGAGAUGAAAAAAUAUUACAUUAACUCUAAUAUUGCCAACUUGUUACAAAAUAAACAUAGGACAUUUUAUUUUGUUGUUUAUAUGAUAAAAUAUUAGGUAAAACUUAUAUCAAAAUAGGUAAAAUUAAGAAGAAACAUAAGCAUGAAACAAAUUAUUGAGAAGUAAAAGAAACAAAUUCAUCACUGAAAAUGAAUUGAAAGAGAUGGAAAGGAAUUAGAAUCGAACCAGAUGGUGCAACAAUGGAAAAAUCUAAUCAAAUGAGAUUAUUCUUGAGCUAUGUAAUUGGGCUAGUACAUGUUUAAGUAAUAUUCAUUAUUCUUGCGGUUUGGUUUGGUACUUGAGAUGCAAACCGCAAACCAAACCGAACCGCGCGGUUCAGUGUAAAAGUCAUCCGAGUUCAUUCGAACCAAGUGCAGUUUUUUGCGGUUUCGGUUUGGAUUGGUUUGGUUUGCGGUUUUUCUAUUGGGUUCGUUCGGUUUUGAACACCCCUAGUUUUGAUCGAUGUUUCCUGAAGAUAUGUUUUGGUAAUUGAACUAAAUAAACUGUCUUACAUUCUUCAAUUAAUGAGAUUAAAUUUCCUUUUUACAAAUAUCAAUGAUUAAUGUCAAGGACUAAAAUGAUGAUUAGUGUCGCGCCAUUUUUCGGAGGUCAAGGCCAUUUGAUUAGCUUUUGACUCACUUUUUAUCUCACGACUGAACAAAAAAUUUUUUAAAGGGGAAAAAGUUUCAAACCACCCAUUUUGAAAAGAUUUAGGGUUCAUGGGUUGGUUAUAUUUAGGGAAGGUAUUAGCACCCUAAAUAUUCGUAGUACUCUAUGAGUACCUCUUGAUUUUAUUUAACUUUUUGUGCUUAAACUUGCUUGCUUUUGAAGAGAUGAAAAUAGAAUUGAAAGAUGAGUUGAAACGAAAAAGAAAAUUGAUUUUAAUUGAAAAGAAAAAAGAAAAUUGUUUUUUAGUUGAUUUGGAAGGACAAGGUCCUCUGCCUACGUACCCGUGAGGGAUCAAAACCUCGUAGUUCGGGGUAGAAAUUGACGUUUGAUUGGUUUUAUAUUUUUUAUUAGUUUUUGAAAAAAGGUUUGAAAUAAAAAGCCAAGUGGCAAAUGAGAAUUGAUUUGUGUUUUUUGGAUUGAAGGAAAUAGACUUGAAGUAGAAUUAAAAUUGAUUUGAGAUUUGAUUAAGAAAGAAAAUAGAAAUAGCGAUCACUUCAUUGAAAGUCAAGGUUUGUUAUAAAAAUAUUUUUUUGUGAUUUUUUGAUAUUUGGAUGUUUUUGCCGUUUUUGAAUAAUGAAUGAAAAUUAAACUAACAGAGCAAUGAAAAUAAAAGUGCGUGGGCGUGAAGAAAAGAUUUUGGUUUAUGUUAGUUCGACAAUAUAAAUAGUAUUUAAUAUAUGUUGUGUUCACUUUGGAUAUUAUCGGACAAAAUUUUGACAAUAAUAAAAAUAAUAAUAGUAAAAUAGAAUAAAAAAUAGAAAGACUAAAGUGAAUCAAAAUGAGAUAAAAAGAUAAAUAUUUAAAACGGAUUUAAAGUUAAUAAAAGAUGGAAACUAAAAUUAAAUGAAAUUUGAAAAUUGAGAGAAGAGGGUCCGACUUGGAACCAAAUAUGAGGUAUUUUAAAAUACCUUCCUAUCGAAAUUUUGUUCGAAAGGCUGAGACCGGUCGGAGUUAAAUGACACGUGUCAGUGCUGCCUUAGGUCAAAAAUUGGGGUAUGACAAUUAGCUCAAUAAUUAAUUAUUGUGAUUUCUUCAUUUUAUAUUUAUAUUUAAGAAUAAAAAAAAAAAAAUGACGAUAUCAACUUUGACACAUUACAUAUUCAAUCAAUGUUGACUUGACCAUCAAUGCUACAUAUCCGGAUGUAAGAGUAGUUCGACGAGUUUAUUUUUGUCACUUUUGUUGAUAUUUUGUUGGUUUAUGCUAUUAACUUGCAUCUAGUAAACUUGUUCAUAGCUUCAUCAUUUUCAGUUUUAGUGACAUGAUAUUUGUGUUGUAUUCAAUGUGAUUUACCGCGCGAUAUGAAUAAUAUAUAUUUUUAGUCAAAAUUAAUCAUGUCGGACCUGAGAUCUUUGGUUUGAUGGCGUUGAACGACCUUUGAGUAAGACAAUGUUAAACCAAAAUGAGUUUUAUACAAUGCCUCUGAAGUUUUGAUAAUAACAAAGUAUAAAAAGAACAAUUGAAUAUGCCAAUGUUGUUCAAGUAUGCUCGACCAUAUAUUAAAAUUCAAAGUAUUAAAUCAAGUUUUGAUUCUGAAAGAACAAGAUUAUGAACAUAUACAAGAGCAUCUGCAACUUAUGAGAAGCUGGAAAUUUGGAUCAGACUCUGAAUAAGUAAGACUGUGAAAGUCGGGAGUGUAACACCCUGAACCCCACAUACUAUUUUUAAAAGUAAUAAUUCAACAUUUAAAUAAACAUAUCAAGAUGUUACUCUUCAUUUUCAACACAUAACAAGUCUCCAUCUUAAAAUAUCAACUCACAGCGGAAAUAAGUCUCAACAACACAAAUGUCAUACAUCAUAUCUCAGAAUAAGUACAUCAUCAAAAUAAACUCAAGGUUCCUCAAACAUAAUAUGAUAACAUAAAUAAAAUCCCAACAUCCUAAUCAGAGAACCACUAGACAAGACUCCAAAAUCAAAGCGGUAAAAGAUGAGUAGGCUGCAAGCCGUCCUCGGAAACUCAUGGUAACUUUGCGUCCUCAACCUGCAAGUCUCCACCACAAGGGCGUAGGCGACCAUUUGCCAAACGUAGGGUAAGAUAUAAAUUUAACAUAGAGGAAAUAUGAACACAUAUAUAGUAUUAGGAUCGCAACAUCAUAUACAAGUAUUCAUCUUAAGCAAUACCAUAUUAACAUGCAUUCUCAUUGAUUGGUAAAAUAUACACAACAAAUCUCAAAUCAUCAUCACAAGAAUAUAAAAAAGUAAACACAUCAUUGAUUAAUCAUCCAAUGGAAUACAUAGGAUUCACACAUUAUCACUUUCAUUAAAUCACACAUUUUCCAUAAAAUACACAUAGUCAUGUAUGCAUCUUUCACAUAGAUUCACAUAGUCAAGUACUCAUCUUCUACAUAGACUCUCAUGUACGAAAUGUUCCUACUCGACUUUAUAUGCAUGUGGUACUGUUUUCGAUAUCAGAGGUAUUUUCUGAGUGAUUUCACCGUCACUUGGACUGACCAUGAAUGCAUGAACAUCUCAUCAUGACUCGACAAUGCAUAAUUCAUAUAACUCGACAAUUUACAUCAACAACAUCAUCACAUCGUAUAUUAAUUCAUCGUCGCUAUAUCAUCAUCAUCAUCAUCAUCAUCAUCAUCAUCAUUUUCAAUGUCAUUAUAUCAUCAUCAUCAUCAUCAUAUCAACAUCUAUAUAUAGUUCAAAUCAUCAUGUCAAACCAUAUCAAUAUGUAUCCACCUCGUCUCGCAAUCACAUUCACAGUCAUCAUCAUUAUAUAUUCAUAAGACAUUAUUCUACAUCAUCAAGUAUACUUCGUUAAUCAUCUAACAAGUUCACAGUCAUUUCAUGAUUCAAUUAUAAUUAAAUCACAAGUUUAUUUCUAACCAUUUCAAUUGCUAAGUUUACUUCCAUCAUAAGCUAGGUUAAUUACUCUUACACAUCAAAAUUAUACUUCUAUUAAUCAAGUUUAGAGGUUUGUGACAUAUUCACAUGCAUUGGAUACCUUAAAAUACCAAAAAUAUGAGUUUCCCACUAUAGGGAGGGUUGCACGGUAGUGCCAUCCAGGUGCACAGUCGUGCUCAUCAUGCAGGUAGGGAAAAGCUAUAAUUUUUGCGUUUUGCUCAGGAAGAACCCCUUUCAACACCAUUUUUCGAUCCAAUUCACACCAAACUAGACCCAAAUCAUAAAACUAAUGUUGUCUAAUCAAUUACACAUUAAUUUUACCUUAACUAACUUUAUUAUACUCAUUAUUAUCGUCAAUUAACAUGAACUUCAAUUGUUUUAAACUUAUCACUUCAAACCCAUUUUUAACAUGGUAAUUCAAACCCCAAACAUAGUAACAACCAAAUCAACAUCCCUUAUUCAAAAUGAACACAAAAAAAUUCAUCAAUUCACAUUAUAAACAUCAACUCAACAAUUAUCAACAAUUAUCAUGAAUUUCACCAAUUUCACAUAAAACUCAAAAACCCUAAUUCACCAUAAUCAAACAUUGAUUUUAACACAACUGUUAGGUUUGUAGUCUUGACAUGUUGGUGCGACAUCAUAGCGUGCCUUGUUCCGAUUUCUUGGAGAUUGUAUUUAAAUGUGAAAUCGCAGAAGAAAACUAAACGCAUCACAACUAAGAAAAGGUAGAAUAAAACCUUUCUACAAACAAAGCGCACAUCACUUGAAAGCAAAAUAAAUACGCAACUAAAUUUCAAAAAAGAUAUGCAUAAAUUAUCAUAGAAUAAGGCACCAAGUAACACGUUCUUACGUCUCAGAUUACCAAAUGGCUCUCCGAAAAAUAACCAGAGUAUGAUAAAAUUACAGAUUUCCCAAAACAAAAGGAACAUAAACUAAAAUACAAAGCACGAAAACAAAGAAGACACAACAACAUAACUCUUCAUCCACUAACUUUCCAUCAACCAAAAUCUUGGAGGGGUCCAGCUCGCUCACAUUAUCAUCAGGGUUAAAAUGCAGAACUUGCGCCCUAGUAUGCUCAAAGCCAUUGUCAAAAUAUAAGGCAAGAUCCCCCUUGCCAUCCUCAACGACGAAUUGAGCUUUGGCGAGAUCCCCUUACAACUAGACGACCUUCUUCUUCCAUGAAUCUCUCUCCAGCUCAACAACUUCUUUUUCAUCCUUCAUAUCUUUGGUCGUCUUCUCUGCAGUCUUCUUAUCCUCCAAGGCUUCCUUCAACCUACUUUCAAGACCCGUUGCUUUAUGCUUCCACUUCUCCACAUCUUCAUGAGCGUCUUUAUACUUUGCCUCUAAAGCACCAUGUUUCUUCUCCAUCACUUUUCCUAAUAAAAGGACCCGGAGCACUAAUAUUCUUGUAUCCAUUACUAGCUCGCCAAAUUUGCUUUUAACGCCAGCAUCAACGUCAACCUUAGACAGUGGCACUUUAUCCUCCAUGUAGCUACGAUAAACGCAUGACUUAAAAGUUGAAAACCCACUAACAUUACUAGAAUUUAAGUAAAAUCUCAUCAUCAAAUUAAACUCUCAUACCUACGAAAGUCGAAAUCUUUAUGCCAAAAAGAGUCAGCCACCUGAACAUUCAGAGAAAUGGUUCCCGCCACCCCGCUAGCAUAAUCAUCAUCCUUCCGACUGGCAACAAAUGUCCGCUUCGAGUCGCCCUUCCCAGUCCUCAUCUUCUUGCGUCUGGGCGAGUCAGUUUGCUCAGCCAGUACCCCAUUGCCUGCCGUCUCCAUGUUAUCAAUGUCCAUAUCCGAAUGUAACAUCCUAAAAUUUUAAGUCUAUAUUCAAAUGUAGUUAAAAAUAUAAAACAUAAUAGUGUAAUUAUUUUAAAAUACGCGAAGAUAAAAAUAAAGACAAAUAAAUAUGAUAUAAUUUCUUAUUAAUAAUUAAAUUUUAUUGGAUAAAAAGAAAAGGAGAAAGAAAGAAAAACAAAAAUAAAGGGAGUGCAAAUAACAAUUAUUUUUAGAAAAGAAAAAAAAAGUUAUAUACUUUCUCGAAUUUUUUUUCUGCCCUUGUUUAUGCAAAAAAAUACAAAAAUGCCCCACUUUUUCGAAAAAUUGCGUAAAUGCCCUACUUUUUCAGAAGCCCCUGGUACUACUCCACUUGGAGUUGCGGGGUACCCUAAAAAGUCACAAUUUUUUUGUCCUUAUUGUACGCCGCUACUUGGACUUGCGGGGUACUUUCCUACUUUUUUUUUUCCACUUUUUUUACUACCCCGCGAGUCUUAGCUUUUGCUUUUUUUUUUAAAAUUUUUUUUUUUUAAAUACCCCUCUACUUGGAGUAGAGUGGUAUAAUGAAGACAAAAAAAAUUCAACGUGUAAUAAUUACUCUCAAAUAAUAAAAAACUAAUUAAAAUUAUAUAACCAAUAAAAUACCAUCUACAAUGAUUAUAAAUGCCCGGCUGUCCCACACCUUCGUCUUCGACGAUCUCUUCCGCGAUUUACUUGAGGGUUAUGUUGGUCUUCGUCAUUUUUAUUUGUAGUUGAUUGUAUCUGACUACCAUAACCCAGUGACAACGACACAUCGUGUUCUCUUGUUGGCCAUCCCAUAUCCAGAAAUUGUUCAUUGGAGUUCAACGAAGUCGGAGAGAAGUGAGAUAAUAGGUUUGUUGGUGUUGGUGGGUGGUUGUAGUUUUGGUUGGUGUACAUUGGGUAUUGUGGGUUGUUGUAGGGGGGUAAUUGGUGUUGGACGGUCCAGCUUGGUUUGGGUCAUUAUAGGAGAAGUAGUUGUUGUUGGAUGUGUUAGCUUGGUUUGGUUCAUUGUAACCAUAAUUUGUCAUUGAAUUUUGUUGGUAAGUUGACUGAUAUUGGGGCUCAUAUGCAUUUCUCGGGGAGGUAUAUGGUGGUGGUUGGAUGAUAUUUUGUUGGGGGGUGUCGAGAAAUUCAUACAUUACAGAACCAUGAAUGUUUUGUGUUGUAUGUGGUUGGGAUUGAUGAUCUUGUAGUUGAGAAAAAAUGUCUUGAUCCCAAAAAUCAUCAUGAAUUGGUGUUUGGUUGUUGUGAAUUUCAGGUUCAUGUUCCGGCUCCGGCUCUUCUUGUUCGUCUGGAUCUGAAUCUGAUGGUUUUGUCUCAACUGAAAUCCUUAGACGUGGGUUGCAUGUGGUUGUCAACCACUCAAUAUACGCAUGAGUUGGGGUGAGUGAUCUUGGCCGCAUGUGAGGUAAAAUAUAACUCCGUCGGUUGUCCCAAUGUAAGCUCUCUUGUGGAAAGUGAAAACCAUUUGAUUGGUACCACAUCUUGAACCGUUUGUCCACUAUAUGGAAUUGUCGCAUGUCUCGUGGGGCCCCUGGUAUUUCCUGUGGCAAACCAAAUUCUAGCUUGACCCUAUCAGUUGGAUGCCAUUCAACUCUGUCAAAACAUAUAAGGUGAGUUGUUGCAGUCCACUCCCAAUAGUCUUCAGGAAAAUUGUGUGGAACAUUCUUGUAUGGUCUCCAUUUAAACUGGCAGAAGAGAGAAGUUGUAGUGUAAGGUUAACAAUUUUGAUAUAUAUAUAUAUAUAUAUAUAUAUAUAUAUAUAUAGUUCGAUAGGUGAAAUAUAUAUUCAUUAUUAAUUAAAUAACUCCUAAUUAAAUACUUGUAAAAAAACUCAUGAUUAAAUAAAUAAUUAAUUUAUAAUCGCGACAUUUUUUUAGUCCUAUAUUAAUUGCAUGUCCUACUUUUUUUUUUCUUACAAAAGAAAGUUAACAUAUAGCUUUUUAUUUCUUUACGACCAUGAAAGUGUUAAUAUGUAGCUUAAAUAACAAAAUAUCUUAAUUAUAUUUAAUUAGACCAUGAAAGUUAGUUUACCCUUGAAAUUACAUAAAAAAAAAAUUACCGUUCAAUAUAUAUAUAUAUAUAUAUAUAUAUAUAUAUAUAUAUAUAAACUCAUACAUUCAAAAAUCAAUUAUAAUAUUACUUGAUGUUCCAGUAUGUCAUCAAACUUUUUUCUGUAAGAUAUAGUGUCAUGGCUUGGAUUCUCGUAGUAUCUUGAACCUGCACCUGUCCAUCUAACAAAUGAUAUAAACAAAUUAGUAGCUAAUUUAUCAAAUAAUAAUAUUAAUAAGAAGCGAGAAUAUGCGAGGAAAUUAACAAAAAAAAUAAAUAAAUUAAUUGACCACGAUUACUUUAAUCCUAGCGGCUACUGGAGUGGGUUAUCAUUUCUCGGAGCGAUAUAACUCAACCGACAAUAUCCCCAAACUUGUAACAGAAAAUGACAUCCAGAUAGUGCUUUUAUAUUUGGGUGUGAUGCCUCACACAAGCCACGAUAAAGGUAAGCCAAAACUGCCGAUCCCCAACUAUAAUUUCUUGUUUCAUUAAAAUCCAUUAACAAAUACAACCAAGAGUUGUGCACAAAUAAUCCAGUUGUAUUAGGAAACAAGAACCCUCCAAAGAGGUAUAGUAGGUACCUCCUGUGUGUUGUAUUUUUACCUCCGGAGGAGAUUGUUCACUGAAGUUAUUAUCGACCAGAUUAUCCUUUAAUCACGACAACGAGAGAGUAAAACCAUCAGUUUUGUGUGCUGGAGGAGUUAUUCCCAACAAUUGAGCACAAUUAUUCCACAGAAGAUUUGGAGGAGCCGUAACAAUUGGUCCUCCAAAAGGUAAGCCGAGUAAAAUAUAUACGUCUUCAAACGUGAUUGUACAUUCACCCGUUCGAAAAUGAAAAGUAUGUGUUUCGGACCGCUAUCUUUCUACAAGAGUGGUUACGAUGUGCCUAUCAAUUUUGUAACGCCCUAUUUGAGAAACCUCAAAAAAUCCAGCUUGACGUAGAUAAUCUUCAAUAUAAGGACUUGGUAUGAUGUUUUGCCGUGUACGAGUGGUUAGAGGUGCACCCUCUGCAUCCUAACAAAAAAUAAUAAAGGAAUAAAAUUAAAACAUAAUCAAAAUAUAAAUUUAAAAAAACGUGAACAUAUUUAAAUUAAUAUUAAAAAAUAAAAAUGACAUUAACAAAUUAAUAUCUAUAUAUACCCAUCUUCUUAUAUGUUCUUCCAUGGAUCUAUGAUCAUUUUCCAACCACAAGUAUGCCAUUGCUUUAUAGAAUUUGAUUGAAAUAAUCUCUUAUGUGAGUGAGUAAGGAAAGGAUUGAGAUAAGUAGAAUAUGUGUAAAGAGUAAAAAUAUAGUUGUGGUAUUUAUAAUGUAAAACUAUGUGUAAAUGGUAGAAGUAGUAGUGUGGUAUUUUAAUCAAUGAAGUGAAGAGUUCCUGUGUUACUACUGCAACGCAUGCAAGCCAACAGUGUUCAAAUAAACAUAGAAAUGACAAUUGCAUCAAUAGCAGAAGCAUGGUGUUCAACAAUAUUGAAUUAAUUCGUAAACUUUGCCUCAUGAGAUGACCAUUGCAUGUAAAAAAUACAUUAAUUUCUUGCAAGAAAUUUUUGACUGAAAUGACCAAUGCAUGUUUUGAUCACGUGAAGCAUGCUAGCAAACAAAUGGCCGACAAGCUGCCUCUGAAUAACCAAUAGGAACGGCGCGUGCAAAUACUACCCCGCCACUCUGGGUUGCGUGGUACCCCCAGCUGGCGCAUGCUUUACAUACCCCGCCACUCCAGCUUGCGUGGUACCCCCCAGCUGGCGCGUGCUUUACCUACCCCGCUACUCUAGCUUGCGUGGUACCCUCUAGCCCGCUAGUCCAAACUGCGUUGUACCUUUUUUAAUUUUCCCGCUCGAAGGGCAGAUUAAAUUACAUGUUAGUAUAAAUAAAAGUGGUCUGCAUGAUAUCAUUGUAUCAAACCAUUCUACUUCAUACUCUUACUCAUUUCUUAAGAUCAAACCAAUUCAAUGGCACCAAAUAUAAACGUUUUUGUGUACUAUAAUGGAGAAGUUAAACAAAAUGAAUCCGGUAUUUUUUUUCAAAGUCAGUAUACCAAAGGUUUUAAAGUCAGCAUGGCUAGUACUUACUUGCAUCUCAAAAGAAGAAUUGCGGAAAAAGUAUGUCUCGAAGAUAAUAUGGUUGUGUCUGAAAUUAUGUGUCGGAAUCCUAUGUUUGUUGGAACUACCACAAUUCAUUACCAGGCGUUAAGAAUAACUGAUAACGACGAUGUCGAGUUUAUGUUUAACGUACAUAAAAGUCACAGUUCUUUGUCCUAUAUAGAGCUUUAUGUUACGUUUGAGAUGAAGAAUCCAACAUCUAAUUUUGAGUUAAAUUACCCAUCGAGUUCUAGUCAACACCAAAGUCUACCACAACACUACAAUCCGUCAUCGUCGCAAGAACACUACAACCCAUCAUCGUCCCAACCGCACUAUAACCCGUCUCCCAUUUAUGAUGCAUCCUUAUCGCAACCUUUUCAGUCAAAGUGGUCACAAAAUGUGUACGAACCAUCACAAAUAAUAACUCAACCUCAUCCCUCUCAAACACCAUCUCGUUCAACACAACCCAAAACCUUAAACGAUGAAAUCAAUAUAUUCACCUCCCAAUUUCAAGACCAACCAAAUGAUGAAGUUCAAGAUGAUGAAGACGAUGAUGAUGAAGAACUCCUUGCCGCACAAAACGGUGACGAGAACGAAGAAGACGAAGACGACGAUCUGCCACUACUACCAAUUUUACCAAUCAGAGCUUCUUACAACCCACCAAGGUCCAUGCGCAACGUCAAUGAUGACCACUCAACUGAACUUUAUCAUUCAAUGGCUCUUCCGGUCGAUCAAGGUAUUGCCCUAGGGAUGCAAUUUCAUAACAAGAAUGAUUGCAUUCUCGCAAUUAAAUUUUAUCACAUGAAAAAAUCAACGGAUUAUAUUGUGAAAAAAUCAGAUCCUGAAAGGUAUGUCAUCAAAUGUAAAGAUACAAAAUGUGGUUUCAAAUUGCGGGCCUCGUGGAGGAAAAAAACUGAUAAAUGGGAGAUUGGGAAAAUGAAUGAUCAUACAUGUGUCUCAACAGAAAUGACGCAAGAUCAUCAUAAACUUAGUUACAAUGUGAUAUGUGAAAGUGUUAAAUCACUACUACAUAUGGAUACUUCAAUUACAGUGAAGGUUAUAAUUGCACACAUCCGAGAGAAGUUUAAUUACACAGUUUCAUACAGAAAGGCAUGGAGAGCACGGAAUAAGGCGAUUAAAUCAAUUUAUAGUAAUUGGGAGGAGUCUUAUGAAGAACUACCACAAUGGUUGAUGGUCAUGGAAAAAGAUUUGCCAGGAACAAUAAUUGAUUUUCAAACGGACCCAUCAACAGAAGUGGCAAAUGAGACCGUCUUCAAGCGUCUUUUUUGGGCCUUUCGUCCGUGCAUCUCAGGUUUCGAAUUCUGCAAACCAAUUGUCCAAAUUGACGCAACUUGGUUGUAUGGUAAAUACAAGGGAACAUUGUUGUUAGCUGUUGCGCAAGAUGGGAACAACAAGAUAUUUCCCAUAGCUUUUGCAAUCGUGGAAGGCGAGACCAAGGAGGCAUGGAGUUUCUUUUUGAAAAAUUUAAGGCAGCAUGUCACCCCACAAGAGAACAUAUGCCUCAUUUCUGAUAGACAUGUGUCGAUAAAGAGCGCGUAUGAUGAUCCACAGAAUGGAUGGCACGAUGCUCCGACAAGCCAUGUUUAUUGUGUCCGACACAUUGCACAAAACUUUAUGAGAUCAUUCAAGGAUGGAGAACUAAAGAAGAAAGUUGAAUGCAUGGGUAAAAAUCAUAUCUCUUUCCACGUAAAUUCGACAUUUUAUUUGUUUAAAAUGACACAUCUAACUUUUUUCAAAACAAUGCAGGUUACGCCAUGAACAUCCCUACAUUCGAAUACUACCGUUCUGAAAUUGCUGUUGCAGACCGAAAGGCUUUAGCAUGGGUCGACAAUAUUCCCAAACAAAAGUGGACUCAAUCACAUGAUGAUGGUCGACGAUGGGGCCAUAUGACAAGUAACUUGGUAGAGUCACAAAACAACGUGUAUAAGGGUAUUCGAGGACUUCCGAUCACAGCUAUCGUGAAAGCAUCAUAUUACAGGUUGGCGGCCUUGUUUGCUAAAAGAGGACAUGAGGCAGCGGCAAGGGUAAAUUCUGGUGAGCCAUUCUCAGAAAACAGCAUGAAAUAUCUCAGGAAUGAGGUGAUUAAAUCCAACAGUCAUCAUGUCACACAGUUUGACCGGGAUCGGUAUACCUUUUCCGUCCGUGAAACCAUCGACCAUAAAGAAGGAUUGCCAAAGGGAGAAUACAAGGUGGACCUGCAAAAUAAAUGGUGUGACUGUGGACGAUUCAGAGCGUUACACCUACCAUGCUCACAUGUCAUUGCCGCAUGUUCUAGCUUUUCUCACGACUACAAGACUUUUGUCGAUAACAAAUUCACGAAUGAGUGUGUAUACGCCGUAUACAACAUCCACUUCGACGUGGUUCACCACCAGACAUAUUGGCCUAAUUAUGAAGGACUGAAGGUGGUUCCCAACAAGUCCAUGUGUAGGGUAAAGAAAGGUCGUCCACCAAUUACUCGCAUUAGGACCGAGAUGGACGAUGUGGAAACUGAGAGAAGAUGCGGCGUUUGUAGGAUGCCUGGUCAUUCCCGCAAAGAUUGCAUUAAUAUUAGACACCAGUAAAAAUCUAGUCUUUAUUUCGUUUGUAGGAUGUAUGGUCAUUUCCACAAAUAAUUGUAGAUUUUAUGGUAUUUUAUUGGUUAUAUAAUUUUAAUUAGUUUUUUAUUAUUUGAGAGUAAUUAUUACACGUUGAAUUUUUAUUUUUUUUUGUCUUCAUUAUACCACUAUACUCCAAGUAUUUAAAUUUUUUUUUAAAAAAAGCAAAAGCUAAAACGCAAGUCCAACUUGCGGGGUAGUAAAAAAAGUGGAAAAAAAAAAGGAAAGUACCCCGCAAGUCCAAGUAACGGGGUACAAUAAGGACAAAAAAUUUGUGACUUUUUAGGGUACCCCACAACUCCAAGUGGAGUGGUACCAGGGGCUUAUGAAAAAGUAGGGCAUUUGCGCAAUUUUUCGAAAAAGUGGGGCAUUUUUUUAUUAUCUUUGCAUAAACAAAGGCAGAAAAAAAAAAUUCUACUUUCUCCCCACGUUUUCUCAAAAUUUGUUUCUAAAAUAAUAAUAAAAAAAGAAAUAGUUAUUUCAGAAAGAGAAACCGUGUGAUAUUUUUUAAUUAGUGUACACCUACACUUCUCAUGUGCCUAUAAAUAAGAUGCUUAGUUGAACAUAAACUCACACUACAAAACUCUCCUCUCUCUAAAAAAUCAGGUUAGUUCUCUCUCUCUCUCUCUCUCUCUCUCCUUUUCUGAACUUUCUCUAUUCAAUCUAUAGUCAUUCUUUAUUCUUUUGAAAGAGACAAGAUUUACUACUAAAAUAACCUCAGAUUUGGUCCCCACAACCCUUCUUUUGGGAAGAACAACAACAUAGUAUACCCUUCUUUUGGGAAGAACAACAACAUAGUAUUAGAAUGUUCUUUUAUCAGAUGAGAAAGUGACAGUAGUUUAGUUCUUUUCAACCUAAUCAAACCAUGAAAAUAGUUUAGCUCUUUUCAACCAUUCUUUUUCAACAGAAACAUCAUUCAAUAAAAUAAAAUAAAGAGAUCUCAGAUCUGUUUUAGACUUUUAGUAGAAAAAAUUACACGAUUUAAUUAUUGUAUUUUUUAUACUGAUACAAACUAUGAAGAUUGAAACAAAGUUCAUAAGAAAGUUGAGAUCUUGUUUAAUUCAUAUUUUUAGUUUAAAGAAAAAUAAAGAAAUGAACAUUGUUUUAAGAAUGACGUAAUGACUAUUAAAUGGCUUUUAAACAUUCUGACUAUAUAAAAAGGUAGUAACAUAAGUUUCAUUUGAAAUAAAAUAAAAUCAAGCUAUUAUUAAAAUAUAUCUAAUAUAAUCUGAAGAAAAAAAAAGGACGUGAUACAGAGAAACAAAGGAAUUAGAAAACUUUAACUCGUUAUCUCUAUUAUUAUGACCUUGAUAAUGACUAUAGUCUAAUAGAUAGUUUAUUUUGGGUGAGUAUUCUAGGUGAUAUUGGAGCUGCUUUCGACGGAAACAAUAUUGCAACCACUUGCGAAGAAUCCGAAGGUAAGGGGAAUUACUACUAAUAAAUUUUAAAGAUUUUGCAUAAGUUAUGUGCUUAAGUGAUUAUAUGUGAGUAAAUAACUCUACUUGUGAGAGUUAAUUUCUCGAUGAUGUGGUAAUUUCUAGCGAUCAAGUACAUGUCAAAGGACAUCGACUUAUAUGUGUUUUAGUUAAUAUAAUUAGGAGUUUUUGAAAAUAUAAUACAUAAGUAGAAGAAAAAGUUUUGUAAAUGAUGAAUUGAUUAGAUAGUUAUAUUAUGUUUAUUUGGUAUUACUCUUGUGUAAGUGAAUGAGCAUAUGAAUUUCAAUAAGUGUUAACUGAUUUCGAUGAGUGAAAUUAGUUGGAAAUAUAUGAUUUAAAGUGUCAAUUAUGAUUCGACGCGAUAAUUUAUAAUGUUAAUCAUGAUUAAAAACUUCUCUAUAAAAAGAAAUGAUCUAAGAGAGAUAGUUGUAUCCCACCUCAUUAAUUUUAUGGUAUCAACUCAUAGGUAUGUUGUAAAGGAAAGAAACUUAAGAAUGCCAAACUAUGAUCACUAACUUAGUACGUAGACAUAGUAUAUAUAGUUAUAUUGUACGUGUAGGAAAUUCUUUAAAACAAAUGUAUAUGUGCUUUUUAACUAGGCAACAUGAAUUAUUCUUUGUUAAAAUCUCAUGAAUAAAAAGAACAUGUACUAGUUUAAUUGAAUUACCUAAGUUCUUACUUACUGCUGAAAUUUCUAUGCUUAUAAAUAAAUGAAAAAGAACAUAUGCUGGUCAUUAAUUGUUCAGUUAUUAUGUACUGGCUUGAUUUACUUGCUGGAAUUUCUAUGCUUAUACAUAAAUGAAGAGGGACAUAUGCUGGUUAUUAUUUGUUGAGUUAUUAUAUACUGGUUUGAUUUACAUCACUGUACUAAUUGAAUAAAAUUCUGAUGUGGCUAAUCAAUUUUAUAAACAUAAAUGGUUAAUUGUUUGACAUUGUUGAGUUGAAUAUGAGUGUUUUGUCUUGUCUAGAAAGUAGGGACAAUUAAGGAGCUAUAACAGGUCCCUAUACACUCAGGUGUAGAUGAGAAUGAGGAUAGUUAUGGUUUGGUUACUUUGAGGAUCUAUCGAGGGCACUUGUGUUUCGAACGCCUAUCAAUAGUUGGGGAUUGCUUCCCGGCUGAAAGUACUCGUACUACCAGACACGGUGAGCCUGAAAAAACUAGACUAUCUAUGAUAAGGUAGUGCGAUCGGACUAGAAUGAUUAGAGUUUAAGCAUAUCUUGCUCAAAAUACUAAUAAUCAUGAUAUAGUUGCCGAAACGGCCUUAUGCUCAUUAGAGUGGAACCUCCAUGGAGUAGUGAAUUAUGAGAAGAAAAUAAACUAGAGUCAAGAAAAAAAAAGUCAAAAGAGUUCAUGCAUGUGUCAUGUUGAAUGUCAAACUAUUAAUUCAAAUUGGACCUCUUAAAAGAUAGUUUUUUUUUUUUUUUUUUUAUAAUAUGCUUUGUGAUUGUUGUUGGACAGUGAAUGAAAAGAAAAUAUUAUAUCUAUGUAAAUAUCAUUUUACCUUGCUGUAUAUAUAUUAUUUUCUUUUUCCUUAUGUAAUAAAUCACGUGGAAAACUUGUGUACGAGUAAUUCACCCUUCUUUGUUUGUUUUUGUAUCUUGUUGUUUUUUUUGGGUAUGUUCGGACGUUUUUAUAGAUGAUGCCAGAAAGACAUUUAGCUCACUCGGGAACCCGCAUGAUCGAGUUCCUUGAGGUAUUUUCUUUUGCAACACUUAUUAAAGAAGAAAGUAAUAAUAAAUCAAAACACUCACACAAAGACGCCUCAAGACUAUUGGAAUCACCCUAUCGUAUCAAAAGCUCAUGAAUAUCCAUAAGUAAAAACUUCUCCAAAAAGAACACCAUACCCUACUCAUAGGGUGCCAUCUUAUUAAAAUCAUACCCCAUCACUGCAAUCGGAGCAAUGAUCCAACAUAAAGGAAACUUUGGUUUUCCUUCCACCAUCACCAACGAAGUUGAGCCCUCAGGCUCUCCUUGCACCCUAACAAACGAAUCACACCAAUCCUUCUUAAAGUUAGAAGCAUAAGGAGGGAAAAGUUUUUUACUAGGAUAGGCACUAAUUGAAACCCACAUUCCCUUGUUUACAUCUUUCGUCCUAUAAAAAUGGAAGAAGACGCCAACAGAAGGCUCCAAACUCAUCCUUACAAAGUAGUUUGAAUCCACGAAUAAACGCCUAGCUAUUAGGACGUAUUUGCGAAGGCGCCACAUUCAGAAACUUUAGCACAUCCAUCUCAAAAUCCGUAAAGGGUCGUCACCCCAAACUCUUCCAACACCGUCAUAUACAUAAGAAAGGAAUCAUCCCUGACACCCUCCAAACGCUGAUCGCACACUCUCUCGCCUACAUCACAGGGCGACACUGUCACAUCUUUCUCGUUCUCAGUAGCAGAAGUAUCCAUCUUGUUUCAGAAUAAAUUGAUAUCCGAAGGCGACAUAUAUGAAAACACCGCUCGAAGAACUUCUUCAGCUAAAUGAUUCAUCUCCAACUCAUAAGAAUACGUCAAACACAUAAUCUCUUUUUGAGUAGACGGAAGAGGCAUAUAAUGACAAAUCUCUUGACAAGUUUUCCCCCUACGACAAAUCACUAUCACUACCAUUAGAGCUAUCGCUACUAGUGUUGCUAUCAUUGGACAAUUCCCCUAAAACCCUACGAUAAAAAAGCCCUAAUUCGUAAGCUUCCCAAUCAAUCAAGUCAUUAGGAUGUGUUGCAUGUCUUAAAGAAUCUCUCCUCAGUUGGUCUCUCUCAUCAAAAUUCGUAGGAGAGAAGGCGAAAAAUGAGAGAAGGAAAAUGGAAGAGUACUUGAGAAGAUUGAAAACGUGAGCUUAGAAAUCCAGACAAUCAGCUGGCAAGUGCGCGAAUACGGAGAACUAAAAGGCGAAAAAUGCGGAAGUGAAAUGAGGAAAGGAAGGAAAUGAAGGGUCAAAGAGUUUUAGAGGACAACAACAAUUAAAACCCCCUCAAAAAACACGCUCAUCCUUGGCACGAUUGGAGACACGUGUCAAGAUACACCCAGAUUCGAACACGUCACUAUCAUCGAAAGGUCACACAUUUUGGACCAUACAAUCAUGUUAAAAAUGAAAGAUCUCGUCGAUAUAGAAUUUCAAAAAACUCGUUGCCAACUCCUCAAACAGGAAACUUACUCGCCGUGCUGUUACAAAUCACUUCGCCUUGUCCCAAGACUCGUGGUUGGGGGCUGUGAACAAACAUCAGGCAUAAAACGCAUGACUCGACUAGCACACACCCUAGGGGGCUCUAGGAUAAAGCAUAAUCACCCAAGGGGGACUCUGUAAGCUCCAACAACAACAUCCAAAGACAUACACAAAAAAUACUGAUAAACGUAAAAUAAAUUCCAAAUGCUAAUUAAUCAUUUCGCCUUGUCCCAAGACUCGUGCUUAGGAGGCUUUGGACCGUCAAUAUCUUCUUAAGGACCUAGAAGUCCUCCCAAAGGGCAUUUAGACCCUCCUAGAUGCCUAACACCCUUCAAAAGGGCUCUAAGGCCCAACACGCGCCCUUCCUAGGGAGCCGCCUCUACCAGCUUCUAAAACCUCCAAAGCUCGGCCUAAAUACCUAAUACGAUUACAAACCCUAAUACCUCAUUACGUAUAGCUUAAGAACCAUAAAUCAGGCCAAUAGAGGGCUAUAAAUACAACCUUUGAGAGCCUUCUGAAGGCAUGACCAAUACAUUACAAACCCUAAUACGAUUAUUGUACUUUUGCAAGUACAAUGAGGAAGGCGAUAUUGACAGGGAAAGUUUCCACCUAAUUUGGGCUAAAAACAUGGACUUUUGGGGGUAAAAAAGUCACAAAAAGUGACUUUUUUCGCAAGGAGCAGGGCGCCUAGCGCAUAAUGGCAUGCACCUAGCUCAUGUUCCUGCUAGGCUGAGGCGCCUAGUGCCCCUUUCAUGCGCCAGACGCUUCAGUUGUUUAGCUUAGGGGCACCUAUUGUGCACCUGGGUGCAUAAGUGCCUUUUCAGUGCCUUUUCAGUGCUGUUUUUCUUGUUUUCUUUGCCUUUUGAGGUGUUUUCUUCAAUGUAAGAUGUCUUGGAACUUGAGAACAAAAUUCCUUCCUUUGUAAAGACUUCUGAGGCAUCUUGAAUCUUCAUUAUUCAUCUUCCCAAGGUCCACAUAAAUCUUCAAAUGUCUUGCAUUGUCUGAUUUGCUUGAUUUCUUCGUGAAUUACUUCAACAACACCCUAAAAUUGCUAUUUUUCAGGAAGAAUAGAAUUACAAACUCAAUAUAAAAUACAUUACAAAUGUACCGAAAUCAUAGGCAAUUGAUCAAAUACUCUUCUUCUUUGCUGGUAAAACCUACUGAAAUUGACUGAAAAAUGUAACAGCCCUAUUUUCGUUAGAUUUAUUUUAAUUGUUUUAAUAUGUGUUUAUUUAUGCUUAUGUGUGAUUAUUAUCAUUGGGUGCAUUUUUAUGGGUUUUCGUGUUGGAAGGAUAAUUUAGUAAUUUCAUGUAAGGAUUAUUUUUAGUGUUUCAAGUGAGAACCAUUAUUUACUAAGUUACUAGUGUGGUAAUUAGUUGUGAGCCGGUAAGUGAUCGUUGUUAUUAUUUUACCGUUAAGGGAGUAGAAACAUUUUAGAAUUAGUGAAUUAGUGGGUUAAGCCCACUAAGGCAUUAGGGUUAAACCCAAUUGAGAAGAGCCUAUAUAAGUUCUAGAUUUUAGAGAAAAAUAGGUUUCCACUUCAUUUCAUAAGAAUUUUGAGAGAGGUAGAGAUAGAAAGUUCAAGAGAAGAGGAAAAUGGUUAGAAGGGAGAAAAGCUUGAAGACUCAAGAGGUGAUAGAGAUUCUAGGACCUAAAUUGAAGCUUUUGCUAGGAUUUUUGCUAAUUGAGGUAAGGGGGUUAGAUUUCAAUCAUAAUAACUUAGUUGUAGCUUUUACCCUAAUUUCAUGUAUAAAUGCUUAUUUGUAUAAAGUGAUUAUUAUGAAAUUAAUUGAUGAAAUUCGUGGUUAUGCUUUGAUGUGAUGUUUGGGUAUGUGAAAUUGAUGUUAAUUAAGUUGUUGAUGAAGAAUUUACAUGCUCAAGUUAUGUAUAUAUGUAUACUUGUGUUUUUGCUCAAAAUUGAUGAAGUAUAAUGUUAUUGUUGGUGAAUUGUUGAUGAAUUCACUUCUGAUUGUUGUUGUUGUGAUUGUGAGUAGUUGUUGUUGAUGAUUGAAACCUUGGGUAAUCUUAACCAUAGAGCUUGAAGUGAGUUUCUAUUGUUCUUGAAGUUUUCAUGAAAAAUAGGUCAAAUGGUAAUUUUGUUGAAAUUAUGUUGGAUUCAAGUUUUUAUAUGGAUUUGAGUGUCUUUUCAUGUUUAGACAAACUUUGGGAUCAAAUUUGGGUAUUGGGUCAAAAUUGGGAUUUUGGGGUGAAAAAUGAGUUUUUUUUUGUAGUAGAACUCCAGAAGCCUGUCACAACUCGCCAUGGCGAGCGGGAGGCGAGCAGGAGGUGCUUCCUGUGUGUUAACUCCCCAUGGCGAGUGAUUCACUCACAGGGCGAGCUGCACAGUGACAUCAUUCCCUGUUUCGCAAUCUUGCGUCUUUUUCACAUAUUUUUGUUUUGAAUUGGUCUUUGGUAUAAAUAUGAAAGUUUUAGAUAAUUGUGUUAGCUUUCCAGUGGCGUUGGUUUGACUUGAAAAUGAUUUUUGGUUUUUGAGUUAUGAUGAAAAUACUCCAAGGAGGUCUUAGUGAAAUUUUAUGAAAAUUCCGCAUAACUAUUUCUAAGUCAACCCAAAACUUAUGGAUUGUUUCCAAACUUCAAAACUUGUGUACUAUGAGUUAAAUUAAUGUGUUUAAGAGUAUUUAAGCUACGUUGUGGUGAAUUUAACUUGGUUUUGUUUUGAAAGUGAAUUGGUUUUACAUUAUGAGUAAAGCGAUACGAACUUUGCAAAACUUUGAAUUUAAGUGAGUUGGCCUAUGGGACCUUGAUGUAUACACUAUUGCACUCAUAUGUGAUUGGUGUAUAUACUUAGUUGAGGUUUCCAAAUGUGUUUACCUUGUUUUGUCGGAUAACUUGAAAAUUGGUAAAAUGAUACGAACUUGUCGUAACCUGUGAUUUUGAUGAUUUUGUCGUAGUAGGCCGGUGAAACGCACAUGUAUAUUCAACUACACUCAUAUGUGAUCUAAGUGUAUACAUAGUCGAGGCCCUAGAGUUUAUUUACUUGGUGUUAGUUCAUUUGUCUCAAUUAUUUUAAAGUUGUAAAAUGAGAGUUGAACUUUGUCAAAAAUGGUUCUUUAAAGCCAAUUACCUUAUAAAUCUUUUGUAGAUAACUUUAUAUGACUAAAUGAAGAUAUGUGAAUGAAUUUUUAAUUGUUGAAUAUGAUAUUAUCAUAAGGUGUUGCAUUUUCUCUUUACUUGGAAUAUGAUAAGUAUUUGGAAUGGUGGAACUAUACUAUAUGGUUGAUGUUGAUUAAUAUUUAUAUAUCAAUUGAUGUUGAUGAUUACUGAUAAUUAUGAUGAAAAUGUGAUGAUGACUCUUAAUUGGAUUAUGACUUUAUUGUUGUGUGGACGUAAAUAUUUGAUAAUGCAAUUGUUGUUGAUGUUAUCCUUUAUAUUGUUGUUGAAUAUUUAUGAGGUGAUUUUGCAUUGUCAAGUCUUUCCUUGUAUGUCCAUGCAUCAUAGUCAUGUUGAGUCUUGAUGUUGUAAAGGAGGGUUACUCUUUUACUUUGGUGAUAAUGUAAGACGGGUGUGAAAUUUUACAUAUGAUGUUUUUGUUGCAUCAUGUGUGACGACCUUGAGGUGAUUUGGUACCACAUGCAUAUAUGUGUCGGGAUUAGGCACAUAUCAUAUUGGCGUGAGUCUUAAUUGAUGUAUUUGAAUGAUGAUUGAUGAUGAUAAGUGUGUUUGAUGAAUACAUACUUGUGAUAUUUAGAAUUGUUGCAUGAAUGUGUAUAUGGAAGUUAAUUGCUCAUGAUUAAUUAAUUGAUACUUGAUUUGAUUCAUUUAUGUCUAACUAUUUAUGUGGAUUAUGAUUGUUGUAAAGCUUACCCCUAGUGGUUUUGACCACCUACCUGUCUAUAUGGAUGGGUAGACGAAGUGCAAGAUUAGUCGCUUUGGUGAGUUGCUUGGUGAUUGCUUAGAUAGAGGGAGUUAUCUCCGUUAUCGUUUCCUUAGAGUCUUAGGAUAGGCUCUGAUCUAGGAUGUAUGUCUUAUGAUUAUUCUAGAUUGUUUAUUUUGGAUUUAUUUGUGUUGUGGAGAUUUACCCAAUUGUCGGAAUUUGAAGAAUUUUUAUGUUGAUGUAUUUUGACCUCAUGGCAUGUAUACUUUUGAAGUGUAUGGUUUAUAUCCGCUGCAACGGUAUAGAAUUUUUAUAUAUGCUUGUUAUUUGAACAUUGUUGAUGAUGUGGCGUCUAUUUCUUGGAUAUUUAUAUUAUUCGCGUGUUUUAUUGCUUUAAUAGAAAUAGGGCGCUACAAAAAACAUGCUAAAAAUAACGUAAGAUGUCCUGUCAUCAUACAACGAUUGAGAAAAAGAUAAAGAUUGUCUAAUACCCAAGACUUCUUACAUAACUAUUUCAUCAAAGCAGAAUAGUUCAAAAACUGGAAGGUGUGGGUUUUCAUGACCUAGGAAUACAGGUAGCUCAAGUGAUGACAACAUAAUUUAUGGGAAAUAUGAGAAUCAUCAAGUCUGUGGUAAUGUCAAAUGGAUUCUCAAUCAGAAAAGAAUGCAGAACCUUUAUCCCAGACUUUCCCUCGAUCAUCCAAGAACCAAAUACCAAAGAUCUAGCAGACCUAGUGUCACAAGCUUCUGAAGAUCUAAUCUGACAUGGACCAUGCUCCUAGGGCAUGGACCAUGCACCUAGGGUAGGGUGCGUUUCACAGUCACAUGCGCCUAGGGCAUGGAGUGUGCUCCCUGAGAACUAAAAAAGUGUGGGGCAAAAUUGAUUUUUUUUCGACUUUUGUGUUGUUAUUUUAUGUUGUGAUUUUCUCAGAUUGGAGUGGAGGUAGGAUGUGAGAGUUCAACAGAUCACCAUUUGUAUGACUGAACAGACUAUUCAGAAAAUCUGAAUCAGUGUUUUGAUAAAUGGUUUAGCUAGAGGGUAAUGAUAUAGGUGGCGAAGGAAUAAUGAUGGAUGGUACUGAAGAAAUGUUAACAUAUUAUGUAAGCUCAAGAUCAAUACCUUUUGUAUUAUGAGAUUCUUCUGCUUUGCCUGGUGAGGUUGGCUCAACGGUAGCUGUUGUGAGGUUGGCUCAACGGUAGCUGCUUCUGUGACUAGCAUGCUGACUUCUUCUGCUUGCUUCUGUUGCUUCUCUUGGUUCUCACACUCAUCUACAUCGAUGAAUAUUAGAUGACACAAAUCUUCCUUAGCAUGUACAUUCUUCUUCCUUUCUGGUGAGGGAAUGAGUGAGUGAAUAGUACCAGAGUUCCUUGUGAGCUUGGAAAAAUCCGUUUUGUAGACAGAUCACAAAGUCACAUACUCUUAAUUUGUCUCUGAGUCGGUUUUGGAUUGCCUCGUCUUUUUGGGUGCUUGAGAAACUUUCUCAUCACCUUUCCUCUUAACCUCGACUUUCUUUAACUUCUUUGUUGGAGGAGAUGUUGUGACUUUGGAUGAUUUCCUCUUAUUCUUCUUGUUGUCUGCAGUUUCUGAGUCACCAGGAGUUUAAUCCGGAAAGAACUAAUCCGCAACUAAUUACUAAUAUUUUUCAUUGAAAAAAAAUAAUUUUAAAUAAGACUGGUACCUUGGUCUGUUGUAAAUUUGUAAGAACUAAUUUGACAGACAAUGAUAUAACUCAAAGACUAAUUUAUUUGUAAGUGCAAUAAUUUUGUUACUAAUUUUUGACCGUAAAUAACACACAAGUUAGCAGAAGGACCAAGUUGUUCAAUAUAAUUCAAAAUGUGAUUGUUUUUGCCAUGGCAUCCCCCAGUUUUUCUAUAAUUACACAAGAUUCCCUUUGUCUCGAUGGUUAGGAAGUACAAUUUUCUUUUGGAUGUCUCGUGUCUGAGUCCUAAUUCCCCUCAUUUUUAUAUUUCUAUUAUAUUAUAUUUUAAAUUUUAUUAAAAAAAUGUUCUUGAGGGGGAAUCGAACACGCACCACUACACUGAAUUCUAGCAAAAAACUGACCCCUAGACCGGUUACUGAUCUGAAGAAUAUUAUGAAACAACUAAACAUAUAUUCCAUAAAUUUUGGCACCCCCAAGAUAAAAACUCAAGAUCCGCCAUUGCCUAACUCAAGGUCCUAAAUACGCCACUACCAUUAACUAUAAUUAAUAAGAGUGUUUUAGAAAAUGAAACAUAUUUUGAACAUAUUUCUUAUCAUUUCUUUAACAAUUAUGUAAAACUCAAAAGGAACCCUUAAUUUGAGACAGAGGAUAUAUAAUAAUCGAUGAAGUUUAAUAUCUGCAAAAAAGUGUUAUUAAGUGAAGUAAACUUAACAAGGGUGACACUUGUUUUCUUUUGGUAAGGUGUGGGAGCACUCUUGACUGAGUUUCUAUUUUUUUUUUUUAUAUUCUUUUGAAAGUUGUAGUGGUGUAAUUGGGUGGUUAGUUGAAGUAAUUUUCGUUUUGGUUCUUGCUUGAUCUAUUUUGCAUUGUGAAAUUUCAAUUCUUAGUUUGCUUUCUACAUUGACGGAGUUGCUAAGUUGCAAUCAAACUUUUGAGUGUGUAUUAAUUAUAACAGUAAGAGUGUUGCUAGCACUACUCUUAUAUAAAAUCAGAUGUAUUUUUAAAUUUAUUUAUUUAUUUUUUUUUUUUUAAUUUCUACGAAAGUGGUGCACUUUUCCAUGAAUAUGCUUUUAGUGCAACUCCUUACCAAUGUAGUCAAACAAUUUCUUAAAACUCAUUGUUAUUAGUCAUUUCGAAACAAUGUAUUCACCAAGACAAAGGAGUGGGUGGAAGGAUAAUGGGUGCAUGCACAAUCAAGAAAAAGUUAGGUGAACAUUACAAUCAAAAUAUAUAGCAUAGAGCAUCAAAAUUUAUCGUAUGAAACAAUGUUUUUCUAAAAUAUGAAUGUGAACAAAUAACCCUUCAACUCAUAAGAUGAUCUUUAAUAUAUAGAAUUAGAAAGUUAGAGUAUCAGUACACCGAAAUUUAUAUAUUCAAAAGUGAGGCGUAGUUGGUUUUCCUCUUUAUGUAGUAUAGUUCGGUUUUUCCAUUUUAUUAUGGUACUUAUUCCUAUCAAAUUGAUAAAUCAGCUUUAUCUUAUAAUUGAUUUAACUAAUGAUGACUUGAACAUCAAUAUUAUAUAUUCGGAUAUACGAGUACUUCAUCGUGCUCUUAAUUUAGAGAUGUUUUGAGUUUGUUUACAAAUUGAAUCUUUGAAUUUUAGACAUAGAACUUGUACUCUUUUAGAUAUAAUAUACCGAUUUGAAUGGAUAAAUACCGUAAUUCCAAACAUAUAUUUUUUUUUCACACACAUACCUCAUCCAUUACGAAACGCAGGAACUAAAGCUAUAUAAUAUAGUGAAGCUAAUUUAAUAAAAAAUAUAUAUAUUUGGUGAUGCUAAACUCAGUCUAACUUAAUGCCAGUUCAAAAGGAACACUGUGGUAUGGAGGAAUUCUUUGUUUUGCAUUUAUAAAUGGCAACUAUACCCUAUUAAUCAUCAUCAUAAAAAUAAUUUUUAUAAUGUAUGAGACCAAGUUUCACGUCUCUAUUAUUUUUCAUCAUUUUUUAGAAUUGUACGAUCUUGUACCAGAUCUUCGUUUAGUUAUGAUGAUAGCAACCACUCUCACUGAAAAAUUAUAUAAUAACAUUUUUUUGGCAUAUUUAAUUACUGAUCCUGUCGGUGUAUUAUUGUAAAAUUAGGCAAUUUGUCCAAUCAAUUCACACAUAAUUUCAAACCUGGCAACUAUAUAAAAACAAAAUCAUAGGUAAAUAAUGUAGAAAAUCACCAACAACCCUUGAAUUUUGUUACAAGAAAGGGCCAAGUCAUCACCUUAUCAAGAUUGUGAGUGGAUUCACAAAGAUCACGACUAGUAUAAAAGGAGGAAGUCACUCUUGUGUUUUCUGCACCAAACUCAUAAGUCACUAACAUGGCUUCCUCAAACUUCCUAGUGCUGCUUCUUUUUGCUCUAUUUGCCAUUCCUCAGGGUCUUGCCAAUUAUGAGAAGCCUCCGGUUUACCAACCACCGGUGUAUAAGCCACCAGUUGAGAAACCCCCGGUCUACAAACCCCCUGUAGAAAAGCCACCAGUAUAUAAGCCACCAGUAGAGAAGCCUCCAGUUUACAAACCACCGGUGUACAAGCCACCUGUGUACAAACCCCCAGUAGUGAAACCCCCAGUCUACAAACCUCCUGUUUACAAGCCACCGGUGUACAAGCCACCAGUUUACAAACCACCAGUAGAGAAGCCCCCAGUUUACAAGCCACCUGUAUACAAACCCCCAGUAGUGAAACCCCCAGUCUACAAACCUCCUGUUUACAAGCCACCAGUUGAGAAGCCUCCAGUUUACAAGCCACCAGUAGUGAAGCCACCUGUUUACAAGCCCCCAGUCUACAAGCCACCAGUAGUGAAGCCACCUGUAUACAAGCCUCCAGUCUACAAGCCACCCGUUUACAAGCCUCCAGUUGAGAAGCCUCCGGUCUACAAGCCACCUGUUUACAAGCCCCCAGUUGAGAAACCUCCAGUCUACAAGCCACCGGUUUACAAGCCUCCAGUCGAGAAGCCACCAGUUUACGGACCUCCUCACCACCCAUAGGACUCUCGGAUGCUUUUAAGUAAAUAAGUUAAAUAAGAGAUAUAUAAUGUUUCCAAAGCAAGGAUUAUAUAUUCUUGGAAUCUUCAUUUUAGUCUUUUGUUUACAAAUCCUAUUACCAAGAUAAGAAUGUGAAAGAAAAUGGUGCAUUUGUACUCCAAGUUAUGAAUAAGAACGUUGUGAUUUAGCACUUUUUAAUUUGUGUUGGUUGACUAAAUUGGACAUAGUAUAUAUAUACUCUACUUAAUACUCUGUCAUAUCAGUAAGGUGCAUGAAAGUUCAAUUUUCUGUAGUAGACAUAACGAAUAAUUAAUUUAUGUUUGAAUCUAGAAUUUACUAAACUUCACGUACUUGGAAUUUCAUUGCAUUAUAGCUUGACUCAGUAGUAGCUUUAGUGAAAAAUGAUUUUGGUGCUUAAAAUUUUAAGAGUUGGAGUUUGGACAAAUUAUACACUCAUAUAAUUUAGUUAUCUUUUCAAAUUUACAAUUACAAUUUUCAAGGUUCUAUAUUUGUGUUGAUGCACCAAUUAAGAGAAUGAUCAAGAAAAUUAGGUUUUUAAUUGGUUUUUAUCGAUGAUUUCUGAAGAUAUAUUUCGGCAGAUGAACUAAUCCUUCAAUUUAAGAGAUUAAAUUGCCAUUUUACAAAUUUCAAUGAUUAUAUUAUUACCUAAUCUUAAAUAUAAUUUUUAGGGCUAAAACGAUGAUUCACUCAAUAUAUAUUGUGAUUUCUUAUUUUUUUUAUGAUAUAAAGAUAGCUGAAGUUGUGUGAUAUACAAAGUUAUAUUUCCUUUGGAAGAUAAGAGUCCCCCACCAUAUUGACAUGAAAGUGAACGUGGGAAAAUAUGUGCAAUUAAGGUUCCAAAUAUUAAACAAUAGCCACAAUAAUUGUCUAUAACUCAUAACAAAUAUAAGAACUUGAUAAGAAAAAUAAUAAAUAUAAGAACAUGAGCAGGCCAUAGUUUUUUAGCCCGAGAAGCUUCAUCUUCUUUUUAAGUCUAACAUUUUUUAAUCUUCAUUCAAAGAAGAUUGGUGAUUUUGGGAUAUUUUUAUAAGAUAGGUAAAUAAUGAAAUUUGUGUUGUACUCGAAGAAAUCUACCACACGAUUUGAAUGAAUAUAUUACUUUUAGUCAAAAUAAAUUAAAAUAAAGAAUGUAACAUUUCAAACUCACUCACAUAUAAAGAAUGAAUUUACAAUCUUUAAAACACAAAUAUUUAAUCCUUAAAUCUAACACCUCUCUUAGUUUUAGCGAAAUGAACUUUGUGUUGUACUCGAAGAAAUCUACCACACAAUUUGAAUGAAUAUAUUACUUUUAGUCAAAAUAAAUUAAAAUAAAGAAUGUAAAAUUUCAAACUCACAUAAAAAGAAUGAAUUUACAAUCUUUAAAACACAAAUAUUUAAUCCUUAAAACUAACACCUCUCUUACAUUUAUUUUGUUUACGUACCUUUAUUUUGUUUUCAAAUACUUAUAUUUAGUUGAAUUCCUUCAUUAUACUCUUUUUAAUGAAUUUUCUGAACAAAAUAAAAUUGUGUUACUCAGUCACUCAAAUUAGAGUGGAUAGAGCAAUGAAAAUAUUUAUUACUAUGUAGUUUAUAGUUGGAGUGAUCGGAUAGUCUAGUGGGAUCUUAGCCACUCUCGUUUGACUCACUUGGAGCAUGUCAAAAAUAUUUUUUUGAAAAUGAACGAUGGAGAUUUACUUUGCACUAGGUCCAGUGAAAAAGAUAUGGGAGAUAAUCCCAAUCUUAGCUUAUUGGGUAGGCCAGUGUUGAGAAUGGAUUCUCUCAAAUGUAAUUAUCUCACUAGUCUAAUUACCAACACAAUCAAAGAGAAAAAAUAGUGGGAUGUAAGUAAAAAAUCCAUAUUCUACUUACUCAAUCAUCUAUACAAGCUACUUUAAUUAUCUAGUCGAACGUUACGAGCGUUACAAGAGAAAUCAGAAUAUCGAUGAUCAAAAUCCUUCAAAGCAAAAGAUGUUGUUGUGUGCAAGUGUGAGUUAUAUGCCCCACAUCGGAUAAAAGAGUAAAGGUUGAACACCUUAUAAGUAAGAGGACCAUAAACCCAAAGCCUUAAGGUUUUGGGUAAGAGUGUGGUGUCUCCCUUGCUUGUCUGGUUGUUCUAGCCUCGAUGUGGACGCUCCCCCAAGCUCCCCUCGCUGACCCAACAGUGGUAUCAGAACCCCGGUUCGAUGAAGGGUACGACUGAGGCCGCCUGUCAGUUGUGCAGAAAGCAGCAACGACGGUACAAGCAACAAGUGGCUUCUUGUGCAGCAACGGCUAUACAUGCAAAGUAAAAAGCUUCCACGCGGUACAAGCAACAAGUGGCUUCUUGUGCAGCAAUGGCUAUACAUGCAAAGUAAAAAGCUUCCACUCUAGGGGAGCGACUCACGCUUGAGGGGGAGUGCUGUUGUGUGCAAGUGUCUGUUAUAUGUCUCAAAUCGGAUAAAAGAGUAAAGGUUGAACAUCUUAUAAGUUAGAGGACCCAUAAACCCAUAGCCUUAAUACUGUCCUUUUUGCAUAUUUAGCCCCCCCGAAACCAAUUUUAACCAAUUCAACGAUGACGUGGAUGUCACGUGUGUAAUGCUUUAAUUAUUUUAGUUUUAGAUAGAUACAGAGAGAGAGGUGUCAUAUGUCAAAAAAAAAAAAAGAUAGAAAAGAUUUCCUUCCUUGAAUCGUUGAGGUAACUACAAACUAAGACAAUGAUGUUAUUGGUUACUUGUUUCUAAUACCUUUGAAAAAGAUAGUUAGACCAAUGUAUUGGUCAUUAACUCUUUUCAAUGGUUACUACCCUAGUGUCUAAGGUGAGUCAUAACAACGUCAAAGUAAGUACAAUUAUUAUUAAUUUAUGUCUACACCUAAUCAAUAAUUGAAGGUUAAGAUAGGUCAAGCCAACAAAGUUAAGGUUAAGAUAAUCAUUUUCACCUAAAUUGAUUUAUGAACAUAUGUUAAUGAUGACAGUCCGUCAUAUCACAUUUUUAGAGUCUUUUCAAUUAAGUUUUUAUUCUAAUUUUAUUAAUUUAGUACUUAAUUUAGAGUCAUUUUAAAUAAAUUGUCAUUUUCUUAUUAUUGAGUCAACUAGUGUAUUAUUACUAUUAUUAUUGGUCAAUUAGUGGCUAGUAAAGAGAAUGAAACAAAAACAUGGUUUUGUGAUGGAUGUGAUUGGCCAAGAAAAAUGAUAACAAGUUGAACGAAAGAAAAGAAGACCACACAAUGUUGCAUUAGGGUGCAGGAAUCAAAACCAAUAUAAUUGGGCUUUCUUUCAUGGACGUUGAACCAAGAAAAAGAAAAGAAAAGAUAACUUGCUGCAUAAUGUUAAUUUGGAAAGAAAAAUAGGUUUGACAAGCUAUAAAAGGAGACCACGCACAGGAACAAAGCAGACGAUUGGGAAAGAAAGAGCAGCACGCGGUACGAGACAAAAGGAGGAGGAGAAAAGCUCAUGGAAUUUGGAAUAUGCAACAGUACUGAUUAAAUAGAACAAAGCCGGUAGACCAUAAUUCGAUCGGUUUAUUUCUUUUAGUAUGUUGUUUAUUCCUUUAAUAUGUCUAGUUAAUUCCAUUUGAUUGAGUCACGAUGAACCUAUUGUAAUAUAUGAAUCAGUAGUUAAAACUCUUUUUAUUAUCAAUAUUAUUCAGUCUUUAUUCAGAAUUAUCUGUGUUCAUUGCCUUUCAUAUGAUUGUUUGCAUUGUUUGCAUUGUUUGCAUGACUAUUAACCCUAACUUCUUACAAUCACAUAAAUUGAUCUUAGGAAUUGAAUGACUACUAACCCUAACUUUUAAUCCUGAAAUAAUAAUUCUGUUUAAUUCAACAUAGGAACCUAGAGAUAGGAAAUUGAGGAUUAUGACAUAUAACGUUCUAACAUCGCUUCCGCGGUUAUUCAACCAGUUUAAAAGAUUAAAAGGUUAUAACUUAGGAAAUGGUUUUGAGUCAAGAGAUUGAUCAAAACUAAUUAGUUAAUUUGUCGUAAAGAUUGAAUAAGUGUUGAGAGCAAAGAGAGAUAAACUAUUUCACAUAAAACAAUAGAGGAUUUACCGGCUGAUCAUCUGUUUUAAUCCAAUUAUCAAACCAUUUUAUUUUAUGUUAUUUACUUUUUAUUGCACACAAACGUACUGCCUCAUACACUUAUAAAAUUUACACAUCCUAGAUAUUAACUUUAUUGCUAGUUUGAGAUUAACACAGUCCUCGUGGAUACGAACUUAUUUUAUUACUUCGAUAGUUUUAGUACACUUGCUAAAAUAUUUAUGAGUUAACCAAUAAAGAGUAUCAAGAACAACUUUAACCGAAUAAAAUAGAAAAGUAAUUAAAUGAAAUUUAUAGAAUUAUUCAAAGUUACAUAAUCAAACAAUUACGAGGAAGUUCUUAUUUCAUGACCUAACAUAUAUAGUAUUAGCUACUCAUAGAUUUUCUAAACAUAUAUAAAUAGAUAUGAAGAAGAAAGCAUGAGAAAAGGAUCAGCAAGUGAGGAUUAAUUGGCUCCCUAAUGGCCGUGGUCACUCCAAUCCUUCCAAAAUUGUGUUUCUGCCUUCGUCUUCUCGCUAAAAAGUAUUUUCCACUAACUUAGGUUUCAAUAUUUAUAGGUGUGCAUUUCCUUAAGUUUUUGGGAAAUUGGCACACGAUGCGAUCCUAUUCCUCAUGAUGCGAGGAUAACAUAACUAAUCUUGUUGGCCUCACGUUUAUUGUCCCGAUGCAAAGCUCAUGAAGAUUGAUACGAUUCAAGGAAAUGUGAUUUGAUUUAACCAAGCAAAAACCAAGAUCAUAGGAUAACAAUGAUACGAUUCAAAGAAGUGUUAACUUGAUUCACAGUAAUACAAUUCAAAGAAUCAUGAAUCGUUUAAAAAUUUAUGGAAAAUUAGCAGAAACUUUUCAUGAUAAGAUUCAAAAAAGUUUGAAUUGAAUCAAUUGGUUAGAAAAACAUUUUGACCAAGAAAAAUGAAGUUUUCUUUAUACAAACAAAACACAAGACAACAAGGGAUCAUAUGAUUUAUGAGGCAAGAUUUCUAGGUAUGCUUUAACAUGAUAUUAGUCAAUAACAACUAAUAUCUAAACAUCAUCAAAUAAAAACUACCUAAUGAACAUCAUAAAAACACAAACCUAUAACUACACAACUUCAUCCAACUUAUUGGGUGUACCGCAUUAACUAGAUAAUGGUCAUAUCUAUACUAUAUAUAAAGAAAAUAACAUGUUUUUCAAGGUGAGAAAAACACGAGAGGGGGGGGGGGGGGGGGUUGAAUUGUGGUUUCUUUCUCUUCUCCUAAAACCGAAUUCACUAUUCAGAACUUGAUAGAGUUCAGCUUCUGAAGUAGUGUUCAGAGUCUAGUUGCAGCGGAUAAGAAAAGAGAGAGAGAGAGAGAGGCAAGACACAAAGCAACUAUACAGAUUCCUUCCACAAACCGGAACUAGUCAUGUCCCCCUUGCACCUCCAAGAAGAGUUCACUAAAAUCAAUAUUCGAUUACAAUUGCUCAGGGCUCAAAAUAGCAAGAGACUUCAAACUACUCAAGAACAACUACAAGAGAUUUCCUAUGCUCAAGAACAAAAUCAAGAGACUUCCUAUGCUCAAGCACAACUGCAAGAGACUUCAUACAAAUCAGAUAAGACUCUUAAGAUUCUAGAAUUUCUAAAAUAUGAAAGUUGAUAAGAAAUUCUAAGUGAACUUUGAUGUGAAACAUUUUUAGCAGAGUUUUGGCACUUGUAAAAUUGUUGUAAGUCUCUUAGAAAUCUUCAAGUCUUCACUCCUUUAUAUAGAGGUGUGAAAGAGACGUUGUUGAUUUCCAACACAUUAAAAGAGUCGUUAUUGAAGCUUGAUCAAAUUUCAAUUCCAUUCCAAGUAUAGAGGAAUACCAGCGUAGUCACAAUUGUUGUUCUUGUACUAUUGCAGACAGAAAACAGAGUAGUGGAGAAGGUGGUUGUACAAUUGUACUAUUGUCCUUUUCCAAUGUUCUUCAAGGGAUAAGCAUCCAAUGACUUCAAAUUCCUCUUAAUUAGUUGUUGCUCUAGACUUCUAUUCCUUCUGCAAUGAUAGGCAUGAUAAUAACAACUCUUGACAAAUAUUGAAGCUUCCAGUCUUUCAGCUUAUGAUCUUAAACUUCUAACGACGUCAGCUUCUGGUAGUCUCCAGCUUAUGAUAAAAGUGCUUCUGAUGAUGUCAUCUUCAGAACCUCUUUGUCUUCAAAACCUCUUUUCCUUCAGAUGGUUCCUUGCAACUCAAGCUUCCUUUUUUUAAAUUCCAUUGCUCUCAUUUGUUCUUCUAGAACCCAUGCUUCAUUUAAAGACACUCAAAUUUUUGUAUAUGGUCCUGCACACUUGAACAAAUAUUAUCAUAUCCAAUUGAAUUUUUUUAAUACCUUGUUAUCAUCAAAACUUAAAGGGUAAUGUUAAACACAUUUUGUUCCAACAUUUUUGACUCUUUUAGAAUGACUUUUUCUCUUUCCAAAAUUACCAUCAACUUUCAAUACAAAUAACACAUACAACAAGAAUUGUGUUAUUUGAACAUCCAUAUAUGCGACAACUUUUGUGACAACCAAAAUUUUACAAAGAAAAUGAAGUAGUGGCACAAAAACCAAAGCAAUAGAGAGAGAAAGUAAAAAGAUAAUGUGAGUAUGAGAGAGAAAGUUGUCACAAAAGUUGUAAAAAAUAGUUGUUCAAAUAUCAUUUCUCCAUACAACAAAUAGAUGAGAGUAAAUUCAAACAUUAAAAUAAAAUUGUAAUACACACGAUAUGAGUAUAUAUGUCCAGUUUUUUCCUUUAUCAUUUAAAAAAUGUAACAAACAAGAUGAGAAUAUCAGAGAGAUGAGAGAUAGUGACGUGAGACAAGAAAGACCUCUCCGUGGCCCGCCUUUGCUUGAACGGUGGUAACCGCACCAGAAUUUAUCUCCAUUUGAGAGAUACACUAGGGGGUAGGUAUGCAGCCUGGGUGGUAGAAAAUGGGGGGGGGGGGGGGGGGGGUAUGGGUGAUUGGUCUGUAGUUAGGUCACGAAAGAGGAAAGCGACGCAAUCGGAAGAUCGAGGAAGGGACAAGUCAAGGGUUUCAGAGCGACGCGGAGGCACGGUAAGGGUUAGAGGGAUCGCACAUAAUGAUUACGGGUUUGAUGGCAGAGAGGCGCGACAAUCAGCAAGGGCUCUUCAUGAUCAGCAAGGUUUGGGUCGUUAUCAGUUUGGAAACAACGAUUUGGCUUUCGACAGAUGCGGGUCUGAUGCUAUCAUGGGAAAAGGCUUCUUCGACGACAAACAUAACAAUGGUAGUAAAAUUACUUUCUAUUUUGCAAACAUUCCUGAUUAUAUGCCGUUGUUUCGUCUCCGUCAAUACUUUGAAGUGUGUGGUAUUUUGUCUGAUGUCUAUGUUGCCAGACAACUAAAUUCACGUGGUCAGGUCUAUGGCUUCGUUAGAUUUUUGAAUGUGAGGAACAAGGACAAAUUAGCACAAGAUUUGAAUAAUGUAUGGAUUGGUGACUUUAAGGUCUGGGCGCGUGAAGCAAAAUUUGAUAGGUUUGCACAAUAUGAUGAUGAUCAUAGGGUGUCUAUGCAUGGUGAUAGAAGGGAUGAGAAUGGAGGGGAGAGGAGGCCGGUGGUGAGAACUAAUGGUGAUGGAGUAAAAAAUAUGAGGAUGUGUAAUUUUAAAAAAAUAGGAGGGAUAAUAAAAAUAGUUGUUGGUCUCAUUUUAAAAAAAAAUAAAAAAAUUGUUUAUAUAUUUUUGUUAUAUUAUCGGUGUCAAUGAAAUGGAUAAUCAUGGUUAAUUUGAUUUGUUAUAAUUUGAAAGCAACACACAUUUAUAUCUUUAAUUUUAAUCAAAAUCAAAAUGUUAUAAAAAAUACUAUUGCUAAUUUUCAAAUGUUAACACAAUAAAAAGAGCAGAAAGACGGAGUGCCCGUCUUUUCACUAGUUAUAAUAAAAGAAAUUUUAUUUGAUGUAUUGAUAAUGAUACUGAAACUUUUUACACAUACAUCCAAACAUUAUUCAUGACAUCACUUUUAUACAAGUUCUAAAAUAUCGCUGUAACAAAAAGGUUAAAAAACAACUCAUGAAAUAUGUACAUGAUUUAAUUGAAUAUAUGUGUAAAAGAAAUUAUAUAUCAACAUCUAUAAAUUAAAUUUAUUAUUGAAAUGAAAUACUAGUAAAAAUGAUGGCCAGCAUUUAUGAAAAUAAAGGUCUAACUGAUCAUGGGCCAAUUUAAAUCAAAAGUAGAUUUGUGCCCUCUAAAGGGUACUAGAAUAUAAAAGAUGGACGGCAAACAAGGGACACAAAGAAUAGAGAUGCUCAAUUUAAAACACAACUUCGAUUUUUUUUUUAUUUACUAAAAAAUAACUUAGAUUGUUUAGAGAAGAUAGGAAUUCAAUUAGUCUGACAACAUAUUUUGGAAGUACAAUUAGUUUCACAAUUAACUAUUUUGAUAAUCCUCCUUAUUAAAAAAAAAUUAAUAUUCCAUUUCGUCAAAUAAAACAAAAAGUUAGGGAGUGAUGAGAGAUCUUAGUCAAUAUUGUUUUGCACCAUAAUAUUUUUGAGAGAUUGAUUUGGCAUUUACAUGCUUCCAACAAAUACAAUGUAACAAGUGCUUAUAAUUAUAUGAUAUCGUCUCUUAAUAUUGUGACAGCUGAUCACUUAAACACAAUUUGGAACAACGAGGUCCCUCUGAAAGUUAGUCAUUUUACAUGGAGUUUGCUCUGUAGCCGAUUACCAACAACAAAUAAUUUUAUCAGAAGGCACAUUCUUAAUCAUAAUGUUCAACUUUGUGUAGGCUUUUGUGGUAUAAUGUAAGAUAUAGACGAUCUAUUUCUCUCUUGUGAUUUUUUUGAAAUUUUUUAGAUUGGUAUCUAUAAUUGGCUCGGCUUUACUAUGGUACAUCCAGAACAUCCGAAUAACUUUUCAACUCAUAUGGUUAACUUGUGUUUGGGUGAUUUGAUGGGAAAGAAAUGCUUGAAGUUUUCGCAAUCAAGAAGAAUCGUUACAACAUCUUCUUGACAAAAUUAAGCUUCAAUCCUAUUAGUGGUUGAAAGCGAAUAGAAUUUUCGCUCAAUUUUAAUAAAGUGGAUACUAUAUGAGAUUUUCGCUCAAUUUUUUAUGAGUAUGGACUGCACUUGGCGUUAGUCAUUGAACUCAUUUUACGAGACUCAAGUUCCAACUUAAGCCAAAAACUGAAACCAAACAAAUGAAGUAAAAAACUCAAGUUCCAAACUAAUGCGUGAUUUUAGUCAAAACAAUGUUUAUUUUUUGACAGUAGUUAGUUUUGGAUUACAGCUAUAUCCCUACACCCCACAAACUAUACCCCUCUCACCAAUAGACAAAACAAAAGAGUAGGUGGAAGGGUACAUAAUUAAGAAAAAGUUAUGUGAAAAACAAUAUUUUCUAUAGCCAAAACCAAAAGAUAUAUAUUGCAUUAUUGCAUAUAUACCAAUAAAAGAAGUACUGUGAAAUACAAGAUAAUGGCAUUAGAUUAGAAAUGGCCAAUUUGAUCUGUCUAUUUUUAAUCAUAUUAUUUAGAUUUGUUCAAUCUUUUACCAAAUCUUAUUUAGUUAUGCAAAAAGCAACACCUCUCGUUGAAAGAUAAUAAUAACGAUUUUUGGCAUAUGUUACUAAUAUUGAUUGAAAAAUGUUACCAAAUGAUGCAACUUCCCAACUCCAAUCCACUCAUAAUUUCAAACUUCGCUACCAUAUGAAAACAAAAUCACAGGUAGAAAUGUGUUGGAAAUCCUCAACAACUAUUGACUUUUGGUACAAAAGAGUGCCAAGUCAUUACUAAUUCAAGAUUGAGACAUGCAGCUGUGAGUGGAUUCACUAAGAUCACGACUAGUAUAAAAGGAGCUGGUCACACUUGUAUUUUAUGCACCAAAUUAUAAGUCACUAACAUGGCUUCCUCAAACUUUCUAAUGAUGCUCCUCUUUGCUCUCUUUGUCAUCCCUAAGGGGUUUGCCAACUACGAGAAACCUCCAGAGUAUCAUCCACCAGUUGAAAAUCCCCCAUUUUAUAAACCACCGGUAGAGAAACCACCUGUGUAUAAACCACCAAUAGAGCAACCUCCAAUUUAUAAGCCACCUGUAGAAAAUCCUCCAAUUUAUAAACCACCAGUAGAGAAACCACCCGUGUAUAAACCACCGUUUGAGAAACCUCCAAUCUACCAUCCACCAGUAGAGAUACCACCAGUGUACAACCCACCAGUUGAACAUCCUCCAAUUUACAAGCCUCCUGUAUACAAACCACCAGUAGAGCAACCUCCCGUCUAUAAGCCACCAGUAGAGAAGCCUCCAAUUUACAAGCCACCAGUAGAGAAACCUCCUGUUUACCAACCUCCUGUUUACAAGCCCCCAGUUGAGAAACCUCCAGUGUACAAGCCACCUGUAGAAAAGCCACCAGUGUACAAGCCACCUGUAGAAAAGCCACCAGUGUACAAGCCACCUGUAGAAAAGCCUCCUAUAUACAAACCACCAGUAGAGAAACCACCAGUGUACAAACCACCCGUUGAGAAACCCCCGGUUUAUAAGCCACCAGUAGAGAAACCACCUGUGUACAAGCCACCAGUUGAGAAGCCCCCAAUUUACAAGCCACCAGUAGAGAAACCACCUGUAUACAAGCCACCAGUUGAGAAGCCUCCAGCUUACAAGCCACCAGUUGAGAAGCCACCUGUAGAGAAACCACCAGUGUACAAGCCACCGGUUGAGAAGCCCCCAAUUUACAAACCACCAGUUGAGAAGCCUCCAGUGUACAAGCCACCGGUUGAGAAACCACCUGUCUACAAGCCACCUGUAGAAAAUCCACCUGUUUACAAGCCACCAUUUGAGAAACCUCCAAUUUAUAAACCGCCAAUAGAGUAUCCACCCGUGUACAAGCCCCCUUUUGAGAAACCCCCCAUCUACAAGCCACCUGUAGAGAAACCUCCUUUUUACAAGCCUCCGUUUGAGAAUCCACCAUUUUAUAUACCUCCAGUUGAGGAGCCUCCUGUUUACAAGCCUCCAUUCGAGAAGCCACCAAUUUACACUCCUCCAUUCUAGAGCCCACCUUACCACCCAAAGUUCCCUCGGGCAGGCGAUGGUACUCGUUAAUAGAACAUGCUAUGAAGAAAAUAUGUUAAAUAAGAGAUAUAUAGAGUUUUUUAUUUAAUCAAGGAAUAUAUAUAUUCAUGUAAUCUUCAUUUCAAUACUUUGUUUACAAUACUCUUGCUAUGAUAAGAAUAUGAGUGAAAAACAGAGAAAGAAAAUAGUGUGCUUUUCUAUUCGAAAUUAUGAAUAAGAUUUCUAUGAUUUAGAUGUUGUGUUGGUUGACUAAAUCGUGAUACAUCGACAGAGGCAGAGCCCCUCAUGCGCCAAGGUGGGUCAUGGCCCACCCCCAAAUUUUGUUUCUUAUUAUAUAUAUAUUAUGUUUUGUAAAUUUUUGAUGUUUUUGUAGCAUGUUGUAGUGGUUAAGAGCCUUUUUGCCAAGUCGUAUGUGCUAGGUUCAACUCUUGCCAAAACCAUUUUUAUUUAUUCUUUUAUUUUCUUUUGUAUAAAAAAAAAACAUAAUUCAUAAUUGUUAAAAUAAUCCUUUUUUUUGUUACUUAAUCCUUUCUUUCUUUAAUAAAACAUAACUCCUUUAUUCGAUUUAAAAUAAUCUUUCCUUUCCUUACUCUUAUUUUUGGAUACAAUUGUCUCUUUACUCUUUUAUUUUAAUUUUUUUUUUAUACAAAGGGGACUUCAACUCUUUUUUGUCAAAAAACAUUCUCUUUUAAAACAUAUAACAUAUUUUUUAUACUUAGUCGUUUGAUUCAAUUCGAUUUUAUACCUAUACAUCUGUUUAUUGAAGUCGAGUCAUUUAAUUCAGUCGUUAGGUUCAAUGGCCUAGUUGUUCGAUCAAUUAUCUUGAACUUUAUCAAGGUUGAUAAACAGUUCAUAUUUUAAAAUACCGGUUUAAAUUAUAUUCAACAAAUAACAAAUUUAUAGUCAUUGGAACCAACCAAUAAUAAAAUGUACUUGUAAGAAAAUAAAGCCUCAUCACUAUUUAUGGCCCACCCUAUACUUUUUUCCUAGCUCCGCCACUUUACAUCUUCGUAUUCUUUAGGAAGUUUCAACCUUGUUGACUAUGACAACAGUGACGACUAUAACGAGACUCGCUAUUGACUAUGACAACAGUGACGACUAUAACGAGACUCCCUACUUUUUGGUUUGCUUCAACAGGUUCUCAACAUAAAUAACUAACCAAGUUAAUUUGCCUGUGAAAUGUGAUAUUAGUAAGGUGCAUGAAGGUUAAGUUCUUUAGCAAAGCUUAGUAUCUUGAAUUAAAGAAUAUCGUUAAUUAAACUAAAUAUUCAUAUUAGGUAUCACAAUUUUCAAGACUUUAUAUGUACGUGUUGAUCCAUUAAUUAAGAGAAAUUAGACUUUAGACCCGUGCGUCGCACGGGUCAUUUCGACUAAUAUAUAAUAAUAAGUAAUGGUAAAAAAAAUUCUAAAAUAAAUAAAAGAUGAAGAGUAUUAUACAUUUUACUUACUCAAGUUCAAAAAAUAAAGUAGGAGAUGACAUGAAAUCGUUUAGUUGAAACAAACGAAUAUUAAAAAAUAAAAAUUAGACAACGACAGGGAUCUAAAAUUCUAUUUCUAAUCCUUCACAUAUCAAAAUUACAAUUGGUUCUCUUCAUUGUAAUCAUCUAAACUUAAUUAAAAAAUUUACAAGUGCAAAUAGAAUCGACAUUAUACAAGUCACUACUUGAUUCCAAAAACCUAUGUUUCAUGAAAACCACUCAUACCUAAAUAACAAUAAUAAACCUUCAAAACAAAAAUCAACUAUUCUCAAAGGACCCAAAAGAAAGAUUUUUAGCCUUCUAAAUCACAAUUUCUCUUGUUGUAUUGUUUUUGUGUCAAAAGCACCAUAAGUUGAAUAGUAGGCUCAGACACAUGACUUUCCUCAUAAGACAAAAUCACCAGUUUUUUAUAGGUUGAAAAAAUAAAUCAAAUAUCCUUAACUUUCAAUAACGCUUAGAAACAACUGAAACUUUUGCAUUAUCUCAAUCCACAAACAAAAUUGAAGACCUUUAUAUUUGCUUUAGGCACCUUAAGGAAUUCUAUGUAAAUUGUUUUCCUGCAAUGAAAUGCUAAACACAAUGAGCAAAGAAGAAGAAUUAACAACAAUAUUUGGAUUGUUUUAUUUAGCUUACAAUUCUUUAAACUAAUCAANAACACAAUGAGCAAAGAAGAAGAAUUAACAACAAUAUUUGGAUUGUUUUAUUUAGCUUACAAUUCUUUAAACUAAUCAACAAAAAAUUAAAUUUGCAUUAUAUCCUCCACAAUAUCAAGAAUUUUUCAAAGGGAUCAUUCUAUUUGUAUGGCUAUGAUGAGAACUCAUGUGUGUCCAUGAAGACCAGCUCUACGGAUAACCAUGUUCAUAUUAACUAUUUUAGGAGUGAAAAUAGGAUUGGAUUGGAUUUAGUAGUGAGCUGUUGUUUUUGAUUUCAGAAGCAUUUGAAAAUAACAUUUUGAUUAAAUGGAAAUAAUAGGAAGAAUUUGUUAAUAAAAGUGAUUUUUUUUUUUUUUUUUAUGUUGAUCUUUUUAUUGUUGUGUUAGAAACAAAAUAGGACGAAAUUGUAUUUUUUUUUUUAUGUUUAUCUUUUUAUUGUUGUGUUGGAAACAAAAUAGGAGGAAAUUGUUAUAGGAAUAGGAGGAACGAUUUUUAAAGUUUAUCUCUUAAUUAAACAGGUUUAAUUGAACACGGGGGUAAUAACGUAAAAGUCAUCAUAAAAUCUAGGUUAAAAUUAGGUUAAAAAUUGGCUUACGGGUUAACUUUUAUAUAUAAAGAAGUCAAGAGAAUCUAGAUCUGUGAAGCCCCGAUACUUCAAAAUGGAUGAUGUAUCGUAUCCGCUGCGUAUUCUGUAUCGAUACCUGCCCGAUACUUCUCAAAUUUAUGAGUUUUAUUUGAUUCUUCGAAUUCGAAUUUUGAGAAUUUUAGGGUUUGAAGGUUGGUGAUGGAGGUGAAUCUGAGUUUAUAUUAAGAAUUGAUGAAGAAUUUAAGGAGAGUGCAGUGAUGGAUAGGUAACUGAGUAUGAAUUGGUAUGCAGUUUGGAAAAACAAAACAAGAGGCAGUAGCAGCACCCCCACCCUUCCUCUACUUCUUCGACAAUAUGAGUGUUAGAUUCAUUUUCCUAGGUGUGAUUUUGAGGCAGAUGAAUAUGUGUGAGAGAUUGUAGAGGAAGAUCUCAGAUAUAGCUUUUAGGGAUGAACAUGAAUGAAUGAAUUUGUAGAUGAAGAUGAAUGUUGUUUGAACAUUUAAUUAAGAAAUUUUUAAUUGUUUUUUGUUUUAAUAUUUGAAAUUAUUAAAUUGUAUUUUGAAAUUCAAAAAACCUGUUUUAAUGACAUGUAAAUGACAUUUUCCAAAUUGGCAAUGCCACAUAGGCAAAAUUUUACCACCUGUGCAUUUUUGGAUGUGAAAAUAGGGGGUAAGACUAAAACUGCAACAAAAAUGAUAAUUGAAAAACAAUUUUAAUCUGUUUUAAAAGGGCAGGACCAAUUUCCUGAGUAGGCCACAACACGAGGACCAAAAGUGUAAUUAAGCCUUAUAUUUAUGUUGAUGUGCUACAAGCUUAUGACUGGUUUCUUUUGUUUGAUAAUAUAUUUGCAUAUUAAAUAAAAUGGUUAUAAUUAUAUUCUACAUUUAAUUAUAUAAUUUUUUUAUUGACGUAUCCCAACCAUAUCGUAUCUUGAUUUUUGAAAUUUUUUCGUAUUGACGUAUCGGUGCAGUAUCGUAUCUCGUAUUCGGGCUUCAUAGAUCUAGACUAUUAAUUUUUUUGAUAAACAAGAUUAUUAUUAUUUUUUGACAAAAACAAAGUGAGAUUCAUUCAUUCAAAUUGAUAGAGUACAUCAGAUACAAACAUUGCUAAAAACGUAAAGGAUAAAUCUAUGAACAAACUCACAACACUAAAGUUCAUACAACAGCAAAAUGUCUACAAAUAAUAUGAUAAAAUCUAAGUCACCAAAAUAUUCAUGCUUCCGGGUAUGCAACGUUGGCGCCCAAAUCAUUGAUUGAAUUUGUAAUUGACUAAUGUCGAUCUUUCAACAUGAACUAAACGAACACCGCGUCAAGACGCGAAAUCAAACAUCACAUAAGACCACUAACAACACAAUGCCACAAUUAGAUGACGAAAUCACAAAAACUCAAAAGGGAAAACUUGAUAUAUGUGAAAACCAUUUGUUUAGAUCGAAAGAAAAGAGAAAAAACGAUGUAGAGGGGUGAUUUUAGGUCAAAAAUGACCUAAAACCAGUUCUUUUUAAUAAACGAAGGAGAAAGAAUGUUUAGAGAGAAGUUGGAGUUUUUUUUUACUUAAAAAAUUAGGAUAAGCAAAAUUAUUAUAGAGGGAUAAAGGGCUCCCCAACCCAUAUACAAAAUGAUGGUUGCAAUGCCAUGUAGAAAAUAAAAAGAUAACAUUGCCUUUCUUUUUACAAUUAAACUAGUUACAAACCCGUGCGUUGCACGGGUUUAAUAACGUAUUUUAUAAAAAAAAAAUCUUUUAAAAGAAAAAUGAGCAAAUUAAUGAAUAUUGCACAAACAUUAUAAAUCUUUAUCAAAAUAUUUAUGAAAGCUUUAUCAAGUCUUUAAUACACAUUAAUAUUUGUGAUGAUUGAUAAAAGAAUUAAAAAGAGUAAAGGGUAUAGAAAUAAAUUUAUUAAAGAAUUAACAAUUUGUUUAAACUUAUUUUUGUUACAAUUUAGACCAAAAAAAAUAUUGGACUUCAUUGAGUUUCUCUAUAAUUUUUUUAUCAGGCUUGAAGUUAUGACUCUGAGUUUGAAAACCGCAAAAUUCACAAAAAUUAUUGAAGAAACACUAUAAACAAAUAAACGGCAUCGUCAAAAAUGAAAUCAUAUUUGGCUAUAGUGAUCAAGCAAACAAAAAAAAAGAAGCAUAUUAAAUACCUAUAAUCAAUGGAUUCUAAUUGCAUAGAGGCGACACUUAUACUUUCUCUAUGUUUGUUCAUCAAUGAGAGUGAUUAUUUUGCGCUUUCCUUUCAGAAUUGUUCUUGACACCUAGUUUGGGAAAUGCUAAACAGGGAAAUAACUGUAAUAUUAAUCUAAUGCAUAUUAACAUGGAUAAGAUGUAUGCGAAUAUAGUUAUAUAUAACUUAUGAAAUGAAGGUAACAUAACUGAUUUUAAGCUAAAGAAAAUGUACCAUGACUUCUAAUUUAUCUUUCUAUUAUCUUCCUAUAAAGUCUAGAGAAAUGCAUGCAUGUGCAUUAUAUGUACCCCGUUGACCAAUUAACAUUUUUGAAACAAAUGAAAAUUAAGCAUCACUCCCGCAUGUGCAUCUAUAGCUAACACCAUUUGACAUUGAUGUCUUCGAACAUUUGGUGCAACUCUCAUAAUACCAUCCAAACUGGUUAGGAUUGAAUUUAGUUGUUUUUCCAAAUAGUGAUGGAGUAUGUAUCCUAACACAAAUUAUGCACGUGAAAUAAAGAAUAGUGCAAUAUGCAUUUUUAAUUUGUGCGUAAAAAAAUUCAAAGCAUGUUUGUGAAAAAAAAAAAAAAAAACAGACCUUGACUAAGUUUAUAGAUUCAUCAAUUGGCCUAACUUGAGACAGAUUGGAAAAAUCGUUCUACGAAGUACUUUUUAAACUUUACUUUUUAAUCUAUCUGAGCUUGAGAAGUGUUAAGUUCACGACAACAAUUCAAGAAACAUGGUCAAUAAACAAUCAAAUCAGAUUGUGAAAUAAUAAGUUACUCUAACACUGUAUUGUGAAAUCAUAAUGCAAACUUACUAAGUCUUAAACUUUUCAACAACCGGAUGAUGUAGGUUGAUGAGCAGCCUCGAACCUGACCAAUUGUUACAUCUAUUUGCGUUGUCAUUGACUACAAAAUAGAAGCAAAGAAUUCAAGGUAAAUAAAUGGUAAAUGAUAAAGCUACAAAGUAUUUUACCCAUAAUGUUACAUCAACUAUAUUCCCAAUGCUCUAAAUCUCUAUAUCGAGUUAUUACAUGAACUCGAUCACCCUAAAUCCGAGAAAGAAACCAAAAAAUAUAAAUAAAUCAAAAUGUAUACUAAUAAGUAACAUUGAUAAAUCAUAAAAGAAAUUACUACAAAUCUUAACUAACUUAUCUAACCUUUGCAUCACAAAUAAUGAGCUUCAUAUGUUGAUUCUCAUUACUACCAGUCACAAUUCAAGAAUCCAGUACUCCAAAUCCUAUUUUCCAAACGUCUAAAUCAUUUUUGAGAUACUUAAUGUAGUCAUAAUCCCUUGACAUUGAAAUUCAUAUAUAGAAAUACAAUAAUACAUCAUUUAAUUUUAUUCCCUUUGUUCAUUCUGAUAUCGAAAGAAGCUAACAUAUUUCUAUGUGAUCAAUUUUUGUAUCAUCAAAUUAACCUGAUCUUAAAUGUACAAAUUUCUAUCAUCAACUUUCUGGACCCCAAUGAUAUGAUCAAAACAAAUUUACACCAAUCAACUUUUUGCACGGCUCAAUGAUAUACGAAAGAAUAAAUAAAAUAUGAAAACUGUUACAGCUUUAGGAUUACUCACAAAAACUAAAAUAAUUGAAAUGCAUCAAUUAUUUUCAACUCCUGUACCAGAAGCUAAAAUAACAAUUGUGUCAAAACCUUACCAUCAGUUAAAAUUCAGUCAUCAUGACCUCUACUAUACUCCACAUAACAAAAGACGAUUUUUCUACAGCCAUGCAACAUAACAAAUUUUGGUACAUAAUCCAAUAACAAUUGGAAAAAAAAAAAAAAAACCCUUAAAAUGCAUAAUCAUGAAAAAAGGAAGAAAACCAUCUAUGAUGAAGCAAAAACUAAAACGGUGUCGAAAAAUGAAGCCCUUAAGCCAUAAAAAUCAGUCAACUCAAGUCAUGCAUGGUCUCAGAACCAUGAAAAAAGAUAGAAAAUGACCUUUUUUUUUUUUGUGGUGGCCGGGGUUUGAACUCCGGACCUUGCAUAUUUUAUGCAUUGUCCUACCAACUAAGCUAAGCUCACGAGGACGAAGAAAAUGACCUCUUAUGAAGAAGAAAGUGAAACAGUGUUCCCGACUGAACUUAGAUACCGUUUGGUCAAGGUUUUUUACAUUAUAAAAGUUACUUCAAAACAAAGUAAAAAUAAAGGCCUUUAUGAAAGAAACUAAAGUUAUUUGGUUUUUUUGUUUUGUUAGUUUUAAAGCUAUUUAAGUUUAAUGUUGUUUGGCAAAAUAUUGUACAAACUUUGAAUUUAUUAUUUUUUAUAUGGUGUCUGGGGUUCGAACUCCGGACUUGGCAUGUAUUUAUGCAUUGUUCCUAUCAACUGAGCUAAACUCAUGAGGACAAAACUUUGAAUUUAUUAUUAAUUAACAUAAUAAAUAAAUAAAAUGUUUAGAAUAAUUUAUGAAGGCUAAAAAUGUUAAAAAAAUAAAAGAUAUUUUUUUUACAAAUACGAUAUUUACUCAAUAACGUUUAUUUUGUGUAACAUGAAUACAAAUUAAUAUCAUCAUAUAAAUAACUUGUUAAAUAUUUGAAUAGGAGAAACAAUUUAAGGAGUCUGGAAUAAUAAUAUAAAUAAUAUCAAAAUAUUUGAUUUUUUCUAUUUCAAUUAUACUCUAUAACAAAUUUCGUUAUAAGAAUACCAUAUUUUUUGUGUCUUUCAAAAAGAUAAGAAUUUAUAUUAUAUGAUAUUAUAUUUGUUACAUUGUUGGUGUCAUGGAAACAGAUAUGUUUAAUUUUUUUGAACAUGAAAAUGAUAUGCAUAGUUUGUUACGAUAUAAAGGUGCAAUAUAUAUAUAUAUAUACACCUUUUUAGGCAUCUAUACCUUUUUUUGAAGAAAAGACAUCUACAAUUUUACUUUUAAUUAAAAUUUAAAUUUUAUAAAAAUAAUCAUACGCAUUAUGCAACGCUAAAAAAAAUUAUACACAUUAGCGUAACAAAAAAACAGACACACAUAAAGAAUUACUCUAAACGCUAAUGUGUAUGUGCGUAUAUAUUUGCGAGGUUGAAGAAAGAAAAUACAAAUAUUUGAUAUCAUUAAAUGACAGCGUGAAUAAAAAUAUUUGUGAAGUUGUGAUGAUUAAACGAUAUUGAAAUUAUAAGUGAUAAAAAGAUAAUAAAAUUCCUUUGAAAAAAAGGUAAUAAAAUUAAAUGGAACCUCCUUAAAAAAAAUUAAAUUGAACGCUUCAAAUUAAAUGGAAGAAAAAAAUAUAUUGAAGUAUAAUAUUAAAAAAUAAAAAAAAAGGUUCCCAACGUGAAUUGAAGAGAGAUGCUUGUGAAAUAAAUUGUCGAGAAGUAGUUUUUUGAAGAAGCAUUCAACAACUUUUGGUCAAAGUUCAUUGCAUUCAAUUUUAUGCAUUAAAAAAGGUACAUUUUUUAGAAAGUACUUAAUUGAUAUUGUAUUUGACCUAACUUCUCCUUAAAAAUAUAGGGAAGUUGAAAAAAAAAACCGGGUCAAACGGUAUCUUAAUUUCCCACAACGGCAGUGUAGAAACAACUGAAUUUGGGAGAAAAAAAUUGGAAAAUAGUUAAAAAUAAAAAAAAUUGAAAAAUAGUUAAAAAAAAUCGGUGAGGUAGCACCUAACCAAACAACACUAAAAAAAAUUAUAUGCAUCAGCGUAACAAAAAAACAGACAGACGGACAUAAAAUAUUACUCUAAACGUUAAUGUGUGUGUAUAUAUUCGCGAGGUUGAAGAAAGGAAAUAAAAAUAUUUGGUAUCAUUAAAUGACAGCGUGAAUAAAAAUAUUUGUGAGGUUGUGAUGAUUAAACAAUAUUGAAAUUAAAAUAAUUAAUAUUGUGUUUGACCCAACUUCUCCUUAAAAAUUUAGAGAAGUUGGAAAAAAGUCGGGUCAAGCGAUACCUUAAUCUCCCACAACGGUAAUGUAGAAGCCACUGAAUUUGGGAGAAAAAAUUGGAAAAUAGUUAAAACUAAAAAAUAAAAAAAUCGGUGAGGUAGCACCCAACCAAGCAACACCAAAAAAAAAUUAUAUGCAUUAUCGUAACAAAAAAAUAGACAAACAGACAUAUAAUAUUACUCGAAACAUUAAUGUGUGUGUAUAUUCGCGAGGUUGAAGAAAGGAAAUAAAAAUAUUUGAUAUCAUUAAAUGACAACGUGAAUAAAUAUAUCUGUGAGGUUGUGAUGAUUAAAUAAUAUUUAAAUUAAAAUAAUUGAUAUUGUGUUUGACCUAACUUCUCCUUAAAAAUGUAGAGAAUUUGGAAAAAAGCCGGGUCAAACGAUACCUUAGUCUCCCACAACGGCAAUGUAGAAGCAACUGAAUUUGGGAGAAAAAAUUGAAAAAUAGUUAAAAACAUAAAAAUUGGAAAAUAGUUAAAAGUUAUUAAAAAUUAGAAAAUAAUUUAAAAAAUUGGUGAGGGGCAAAAUGGGAAAUUUGGCAUAAAAAAGAUGAGGUGGCACCAAACCAAACCCACCAAUUAGAAAAUUACUUAAAUGCCCAUUCCAGGGACAAAAUGGGAAUUUCAUAUGGCAUCAAUUUUAAUAGAGUAUAUAGACCACUCACAUUACACAAAUGUUGAAAUAUAUGAUGCAUAUUACUUUUUAAAUUUUUGGUUUAUAGUUGCAUUUUUUUUAGGGUUAAUAGUGUUUUUCACCCUUGUAAUAUAUGUCAUUUUCGGUUUUCGACCCUAUAAAAUUUUUAGUUUUAUUUUAACCCUCGUAAAAUUUUUAUUUUCCGGAAAAGACCCUUAAUAGGCCAUUCAAAAACCAAAAUUUCUUGAAAAAAAUUCUGAAAAUGGCCUAUUAGGGGUCUUUUCCGGAAAAUAAAAAUUAUACGAGGGACCACCUGUUGAGAAACCACCUGUACACAAGCCACCAGUUGAGAAGCUACCUGUUUACAAGCCACCUGUAGAGAAACCUCCGGUGUACAAGCCACCUGUUGAGAAGCCCCCAGUUUACAAACCUCCAGUAGAGAAGCCUCUAGUGCACAAGCCACCAGUUGAUAAACCACCUGUACACAAGCCACCAGUUGAGAAGCUACCUGUUUACAAGCCACCUGUAGAGAAACCUCCGGUGUACAAGCCACCAGUUGAGAAGCCCCCAGUUCACAAACCUCCAGUAGAGAAGCCUCCAGUUCACAAACCUCAAGUGGAGAAGCCACCUGUAUACAAGCCACCAGUUGAGAAGUUUCCAAUUUACAAACCUCUAGUAGAGAAGCCUCCAGUGCACAAGCCACGAGUUGAGAAACCACCUGUACACAAGCCACCAGUUGAGAAGCUACCUUUUUACAAGCCACCUGCAAAGAAACCUCCGGUGUACAAGCCACCAGUUGAGAAGUCCCCAGUUUACAAAC